UUUUCCUCAACUAAACUAUUUUUCACAACUUCAAGUCUUCAAGCAACUAUUUGGCAGAACAACUCCAGAGGCCGAUCCAUCAGCGUUGGUACAGGAAGCUUCAGCUGGUUGAUUAUUGUAACUGAGCUUCACAUCCUCCAAGCUAAUUCCAGUGCAUGGAUUCCUUGAACUGCAAUCGAGCUUUACUCCAACUUCCGUUGCCGAUGUUCCAUGAAUAUCUUGAUAUAUCACAUCACUGAUUUUAACCCCCGAAGCCUAUUGAACAAGAAAAAAAAAACAUUUAUUGAGUUGAAUAUUAAUCGCAUCAAUAUUUACGUAAUCACAUCUACAGACAUGUGAUAAGUGAGUAUCGUACCUGUCCAGGACAAUUCUCGUUGUCAGGGCAGUAAUUUUGAUCAAUUAUGAUUGGAUUAUCGACAUUGUUCAUAAGAGCAUGUUGGAAAAGAAUGUUCCUGGCAAAUCCACUGCUUGUUCUCCCCCAGGACUUAAUCCUCACUCCAUUUUGAGUGCCUGUAAAUGUCACAGAUGUUACUGUCACAUUUUGCACUCCAGCCUCUUGUUGCUCUUUGCCUAAGCUGCCAAUGCUGCAACACAAUCACAAUAUUCAAUUUAAUUAGCACUAAAUAUUUUUACGUACCACCAAAAAUAAAGAGAAAAACAAAUUAUCAUGUUUUUUAAUUUUACCUGAUCCCAUGGCCUGGGCCACAAGCAACAUUUUCAAUCCAUAAGUUGGUGGCGCCAGGUCCAACUGAUACACAAUCAUCACCAGUCCCAAUUUUGCUGUCCAAAAUUGUGACACCACUUGAUGCUUGAACAUGAAUGCCAUCGGUGUUUGGGCUGUCACCGGCGGCCGAAACUUUGACCCCCUGUACUUUCACAUCGUUGCAUCCAUUGAUGACAAUAUGAAACAUCUGGCUAUCUACGGAUGCUAAUCCGUUAAUCACAACGUUGUCUGAGUUGCUAAAGCGAAGUGUCUGCUCAUGUAUAUACAAAAGAAGGAACAUUAAUUAUUAUAACUAAAGCAGGAAGCCAAUCAAUAUGAAAAGCAAAAAGCCACUAAAUUUACGACUAUACAGAUAUAUAUAGGAUAUUUCAACUUAAUUACCGUAGCGCCACUGGGGCAAUUACUAUUGUCCGACUUUUUACAAGCCCACAAGCCAGCACCUUGGCCAUCAAGAACGCCACCAUUAAUAGAAACCCCACUAACAUGCUCAAAUAAAAUCCAGUUUUCGGCAUUUCCGAUAACAUGAUAAUCAGCUGGAGCCACCAGAGUCCCGUCAAUACGUAUGGUAAUAUCAUUGUUCUUGCAUUGGCCUUGAAACACAACAUUGCUUAGUAAGUACCUCCCCGGUGGCACGUAAAUGGUUGCGGCCUCGGCCGAGCCACAGGCUUGAGCCCAUGCAGCAAGAAAGGAUUUUACUGAGUCAGUCUGGCCAUCGGGUCUGGCUCCGAAGCUCAGCACAUUGUAACUCAAAGGAAUUGCUAAAGAUGAACUAAAGAAGAGAAUCAAAAGAAAUGGUAAAAAAUUAAUAGACAAAGACAUUGAUGUUGACAUUGUUUCAAAGCUUAAAUUUACUGAUAGAAAUGAGAGAAAUAGAUUUGAGACGUUGAGGAGUUGGGAGGAAGUUGAGAAGGUUUAAAUGGGUAUUUAUAGGAUUUGAAUGGACUGUAGAAAUGGCAAUAGCACUAACAGUGAAUGCAAUCUGCGCCGAAUUUUGGGAGUGAUUUUGGCCUUAACAAAUGCGAUCUUAGUUUACCAAAAUACCCUUUAACUUAAAUUUGGACGACGUUUGAUGACGGACGCGACAAAUACAUACAUAAGACGAGGACACGUCCACAUAUGGUUUUGUAAGAUGAGAGAUUUCAAAGGUAGUUAAUAAAUUAACAGAAAAAGGUGCUUCUCCAUUUUCUGCUUUUCUGGUGGUGUGUAAAAUUAUGCCCGUAUGUUUGCUUUGAGCACAAGGUCGUUGCCUCCUCAAUUCCCGUGGAGCGAUAUGUUUAUUUCUCUGAACUAUUUCUCCUUGUUGCUUGAAAUUACAGCAAAAUAAAGCUAUUUAGAAACUAUUCAACUAAAUUUUUAGGAUAACUUAUAAAUAAUAUUAUAUCAAUUAAUAUUGAGUAGACACAAGAUAAUUUUGUCAAAUGCGACAACUAUUAAAAGGCAUGUAAACUCCAUGCAGAUUGUUCAUUUGUUGGUUAAUUUAUUUUUCCAUUUUUCCCUUUUGGCUUUCAAGUCAAUUAUAAGGAUAAGCAUCAAUAUAUAUUCCCUGAUUUAAGUGUAACUUAUUUUUUUAUUUUAAUAAGAUUGCUCUUGUUAUUUCAAGGUAUUCCAAAAUUUAUUUAAUUAAUUAAAAAGAAUUUCGAAUACGCUAAAUCAGCUGCAAAUGAAAGCGAUCUACCCGAAAAUAAGGUUUGCCUUGUUUUACGACUUCCUUGUUCUAGGAAAUUAUUGUGUUUCAUGUGACAUUAAUUUGUUGACCUUACUUUCUUUUAGAGAAUAAAUUAGGCAAAUAAUAAAUAUUAUUCAAAGUUCAACUCUAGUUUUAUAAAGAAGAUGAAUCCAGAGGCACAAUUCCAUCAAAAUCAACUAUUGAUUUUAAGGGAAACAAUGAAGAAACCCAUGUGAAAAAAGAAAAUUUCAAUAAAAGUUGAUAAAAUGUGUUUGAAUAAUGGUUGUGUAACAAGCUACAUCGCUGUUGGACAUUUUGUUAUACUAAAAUGGAAAAUAUCCUAAUGUUUCAAAGAAAACAAAUUGCAAAGAGUUCAUUAUUCACAGUAUGUUUCUCUACCUAGAUGUAAUUAUUUUUUAAUUACAUAUUUAUACUUUUUUCCCAUUUUUUCAGAUUAUUCAAGUGGGAAGCAGUGUGACCCCAUCGCGGGCAUUUUUGUUAAUGAUAUAAUUUUCUUUUUAUUUCUUAUAACUAGCCGCAAUUUUCCUAGUUUCGGAAUGGAUGUUUGACUUGUUUCAUCACUCGGAUUAAGCAAACAAUCAAGCCGCAUUACUAGGUUAUCAAGAAAGCACAGUUACCAGUCAGGUCCCUCUUCAUGCCAAAUUCAGCACGGCCGAAAGGAUCUCACGUCAAAGACAAAAUUUAGCAGAGGUUAAUUAAUCGAUUACAAGUUCACCACAUGGGGAUUUCUUCUUCAACUACCCAACUGAAUAACGAUUGACUGUUGACCAAGGAAUUAUCUAUACGUUACUAGUUGAUUGAGGAAUUUACUUUCACACAGUACCCUUUCAUGUUUUAGCUAGCCCACCGGUAACUUCUAUUAAUGGUAUCACCACAAAUUUUGUUGUAUAACUAAUUAAACAUGUAUGUGAGCUAGACUGCCAAAUUGUUUAUUUAUUUUUUAAAAACGAUUGUCCGCCCACCCUCCAAAAAAAAGAAGCAAAAUACAAUAAAAGAAGAUUAGAUAAUCGGAGGCGUAGUGAACCCCAAAAGAUGGUUAGCAUAGAACUCACUAAUUAAUAAAGUAAUAAAUGGGAUAAAAAAUGAUCGACUAAUAGGCUAUAUAUCUCUGUGUGUGUGUGUGUAUCUAGUCUAUAAUUUUAAAGUGCGGGAAAGUCUGAAAAAGUUUUAAAACCAUGCAGUUUUAAAACUUUCCCGUACUUUCCACACUUUAAAACCCUGGAUUAGAAUAUAUAUAUAUAUAUAUACACAUACAUACAUACAUUUAUUAAAAAUGUUCUAAUCCGGAAUUUUAAAGUGCAGGAAAGUUCAUAAAAGCUUUAAAACCGCAUGGUUUUAAAGCUUUCCCAAACUUUUCCGUACUUUAAAAUUCUGGACCAGAAAACUACUUUAUAUAUAGAACCUCCAAAUAGGAAUACUCUAUAUAGGAAUAACCUCAUAGUAAUAAAAAAUCGUGAUCCCAAUUUGGGACCAGUUAUAAUAGGAAUAAACUCCACAUUGUAAUAAGUUAAUUUUUUGUAUGUCCCGUCUUAAUAAACUUACUUCCACAUAGUAAUAAUAUUUCAAAAAUAUAUUCCAUGUUACAUUAAAUAAUUAAGAUGGAACAAAAUAUCUUUCUAAAGUUACUUGUGACAAUGAUUUGUUCUUUAAAGUUGCAACCACAUCUUUUAACUUGCAGGAAUGUAUUAAUUGGUCAGCAUAGGCACUUAAUAAUUGGUCAACAAAAUAAUUAAUUUAUUAAUGUCUAUACAUUGAAUUUGAAUCACUUAUUAAUUUAUUAAUACAUGACAUAAUUUACCUUAUAUCACUUGCAUUAGGGAUAAUUAAGCAAAGACAAUAAUUUUGUACCAUACCUCUAUUAAGUUAUAACCUCUUUAUAAGAAUAAAUUUUUCCAGUCCCAAUAAUAUGACUAUAUAGAGGUUUUACUCUAUAUAUAUAUGCCACCUUGUAGUAUCGUAUCCCAUGUUUUAUAUAUAAACUUUUUCUUAAAAUAAUUAGAAAGGGAAUGAGAAAUCUCACUCAUUAAAUUAAAUGCUAAUCAAUAAGCAUCAUCAUUACUUGAACUCGACUAAUCAGAGGUGCAAGCAUUUAAAGUCAGUCAAGCUACCCCAAAAGGGAGCUUUACAUUUUUUGUUUCACAUAAUAAUCAAAGAUGUAACGGUAAUGGUCCUUUCGAAAUAUCUAAUUUAAUUUUGAUAAAUUUAAUUGGUUGAAUUUGUUCAGUGUUGAAAAUUUGUUUAAUUUUUUAAUACACAAAAUAAUAUCCUAUCGAAAAUUUAAUUAAGGUAUAUAUAGGUAAUCUUCAGAGUUCAACAAAUCACAUCUAUUUUUAAAUUAAAAAAGAGAGAGAAAGAGAAAAAAAUAAACUGAAAAAAGGAUAAGAUGUUGAAGGGGGAGAUAGUAGAUGUAUUUUGAAGUAUUGAGAAUGUUGAGAAUAUGUUUCGAAGUGUUUGUGUUGAGAAUACAUUUAGUAGAUGUAUUUUGAAUUAUUGAGAAUGUUCAGAAUAUGUUUUAUGUGUUUGUGUCGAGAAUACAUGGAUGUAGACGCACACACGCAAGGGGAAUUUUAAAAUUUGAAAUCAAAUUAAUGAAUAUGAUUUGAAGUGUUUGUGUUGAGAAUACAUUUUGGAUACAACGCACACACACAAGGGGAGUUUUAAAUUUUGAAAUUUGUUAAUCCAUUUGAUUUCUAACACAUGCAUACAUUCAGGGAAGUUCUUAUAAAAGUUCAAAAUACAUAACGUGUUUUGUCAUUAUCAAAAAGGGGGAGAUUGUUAACCUCUAUGGUUAUAUAGCAUUUUGAUUUUGAUAAUAACAAACCACGAGUCAUGGGUAAAAUAGGAAAUACACAUAUUCUUUAUUUUGUUUUAAAACAAAAAAAAAUGAAUGUUGAGUAUUUUAAGAUGUCCUUAAAAUUGUUUUCUUUGUAUUUUCUAAAGGAAAAAUUUUAUUAUGUGAAUAUUAUUUCAAAUUCUAAGUAUAAAGCGCGUUUUUGCAUAAGUUUUUCAGAUAAAACUUUUAUUAUGUGCUUAAACGUUAAAUCUUUAUAAUCUAAAUGGUAAGCUCACUAAAGUAAAACUAGCUGCUAGACACAAAUGGCAUACCGUUACAAGGAAAGCGGCAAACCGAUUGCAUCAAAUUAGCUCUCUAGAAUCAAACGGUAAACUGGUAGAGCUGAAGCAGCAAACCGAUUGCAUCAAAUUAGCUCUUUGGAAUCAAACAAUAAACCAAUAGAGUUGAAGCAGCAAACUGAUUGCAUCAAAUUAGCUCUCUUGAAUCAAAUGGUAAACCGAUGAAGCUGAAGUGACAAACUGAUUCCAUGAAGAUGACUUACUAGACUCAAAGAACAAACUGUUAUCUGCAAGCGGCCAACCAAUUCCAUCAAGAUGACUUACUAGACUCAGACAACAAACUAUUAUCUGCAACCGGCAAACCAAAUCCAUCAAGAUGACUAUCUGAAAUCAAGUGGCAAACUACUUUCUUGGAGCAGAAAAUCGUGAAGCAAAAAUUUCAAAUUACAACCAUAAGGAUAAGUGCCAUAUAAGCAAACUAUAGACUGUUUUCUUGAAAGGGCAAAUCGAUUAUGCCUAGAAAGUCAACAACAGCUAAUUUUAUCUAUCGUUCAAUCUAUAAAUAGCCAAGAGAAACACUUUUGAAAUAGGAAUUUUUUGGCCAUUUUUUAAAGAGUAUUGAGCUUUUACUUGCUUAUCCACAUUCAUUGAAUUUAUAAUUGAGCUAUCAUUUGUAACAUACACUUGCGAGAGUGCAUUCUUUGUAAUUUCCAUUUCACUAUCAAAAUUGAGUGAUUGUAAGUGUGGGGAAACACUUGGUCAAGGAGGUGUGGGAUCAUCUCAAGUUGUAAAUGUUUAUUGACACCCUAAAAGUCAAUUGCAAACUUCCUGAAGCCUUGGAUUGUAAUGCUUGAAUAGUGGAACAAUCAAGUUCGGUUUGCUUGGAGGCAUGGUUAUAAGCGGGUUUUGCCGAACCACGUAAAAAUUUCGUGUUUGCUUUCUUCUCCCAUAUCUCUUUAAACUUAUUCAUUGUUAUAUUUACUGUUAUUGAAUCUCUCAAGGCAUUAGUUUAAAUUAUUUUUUAAUUUUUAAAAACCCAAUUCACCCCUCUCUUGGGUUACUUAGCUAGAAUUUCAGCAUAGCUUGUCAUGCGUUCACAUACCGUACAAUGAGUUACGAGGUCCAAUUCCUACCAACACAAGAUUCUGAAAUACAAGUGUGCAACCCAAGAGGGGGGGUGAAUUGGAAUUUUAAAAUUUAUCCUAACAAAUCCACACAACAAGCAAUCUAAUGUCUUAAUAAAAAUUGAAAGCAAUAAGUUCAAUAAAGGCACAAUAAUUAAAAGAGUAAGGGAAGAGAAAAACGAACACAAUGAUUUUUACGUGGUUCGGCUAUCCCCGCCUACGUCCACGCCUCCAAGCACACCGGGCUUGAGGAUUUCACUAUCCAAGCCUUUCCAAGGCUUCAACGAUUACAAUUGACUUCGAGGUGUCAAUAAACCUUUACAACAAAGAGAUUAUCUCCCAAUCUCUUCACUCAAGUGUCUCACACACUCAAACUCUUACAAAUGAAAUGAAGAAAUGAAAGUUACAAUCAAACUCACUCAAUGAGUAGAUAUUCAAAGAUGAAGAACAAUGAAUGAUUCAAUGUUUUGUCUUUUGCAAGUUGUAAGCUCAAGAUAUCAUGUGUGCCUUUUGUUUUUGCUUGUUGGAGAGCUUCAAAAUGAGUUGGAUUUGAGUUUUUAUAGCUUGAGCUCAAAAACUAGCCGUUACUCACAUUCCAGGCGUAUCCGGUUUGCCGUUUAUGGAAUCUGGUAAGCCGGAUUUAUGUUACCGUUAAGGCAAAAUUCAAAAUUUUGCCUAACCGGUUUGCCGGAUUCGUUCUGGUGCUUACUGCCCCGAAUUCGGCCUGCCGUUUAUCAGUAUCCGGAAAGCCGCUUGCUACAGUAACUGCUACAGUAAAACAUUUCCCGAAAUUUACAGUUUGACCCCAAAACUUUAUAAAACUGUAGUAUAACCCAAAAAGUUAUAAAAGUUUGCACAUAGGUCCAAUUUCAGAAUUUUAAAUAAUGCUUUCUCAAUCCCACAACUUUCUGAAAUUAUGACUUCGCCCAAACUUUAUGAAAUUAUAUAAUGGCCCAAAAACAUUUAAAUAGUUUCAAAUAGGUCCAAAUCCGAAAUUUCAAGCACUACUUGUUUAUUUCAAAGUUUUCAAAAUUCUUUCAAUUAAACCAUAAACUUUGAAAAACAACCAAUUUCAUAAAAUCAUUUUUUUCAUUAAAUAUGAAACAUUUAUAAAGUGAAAAUAAUGAUUUAUUCAAAAGGAAUAAAAACAAUCAAUUGCAUAAAAUCAUUUUUCCAUUAAAAUAUAAAACAUUUAUAAUGUGAAAAAAAAUGAUUUAUUUAAAAUAUAUUUUUCAAUAAUUUGAGCUUAAAAGAUUAAUUAUUCUUAAUCUUGUUUGUUAUCAUCAAAAUCAACAUUAUGGAAACAUAUAUGUUAACAGAUUCCAGUAUGAUCAUGGAGGCAUUAUGAGGGAACAAGGAUUGUGAGGUGACGCUUACAGUUUUCAACCUUGCAAAGCCUUUGUAACUCACAAACAUGUCUUCAACAAGAAAUGGCUUUUAAUAAUGUUCCCUAUGUUAGGAAUACUCGCUCUUUUAUUCUUUGUGAUUGGAAUGAUUUUUAGAAGAAUGAAGAGGGCUUCUAGAGAAAACAAAGAAUGUUCUGUGGGCGAUCAAGGAGUGCUUUCGAUAUUAAUUUUUAAAACGUAAGUGGCGUAUUAAAAAAUCAUCAGUGCAGCGAAUAAAUUUGAUGCUGAGCAAUGCAUUUGGCAACCUAUCAUCUGGGAGAUCGUAGCGAUUGGCAAAUUUCAUCACCACUUCCAAGUGAAAUUUUAGUCCUACAAGAAUUCCCGAAUGAAAGCAAGGCACUGCCAGAAUUAUGGUAUCAAAAUAUUGUGAAAUUUUAUAGCUUCUGUUAACAUCCUGGUACUCUUUUUCAGUCUAUGAAUAUCUUGAAAAGGGUAGUUUGGCUACAAUUCCAAGCAAUGAUGCAACAAUAGAAGAAUUCAUGAGCUGGACUCUGGGAAUGUAUAUGAUAUAACUGUAGCUAAGGCCAUGAGUUAUAUGCAUCAUGAUUGCUUCCCACCAAUUGACAAUCGAGACUUAUCAAGCAAGAAUGUGUUGCUGGGUUUAGAUUAUGAAGCUCAUGUUUCAGAUUCCGGAAUCGCAAAAUUUCUCAAGCCAGACUUGUCCUAUUGGACUGAUUUUGCAGGCGCAUUUGGAUAUGUUGCUCCACAUAUGCAUUCUUAAAUUAACCCAUUGAUCACUUUUUACAUUAAUUCAAAGUUCAGCUCUAGUUACAUAUGGAAAAUCUGCUGUACGGCCAAGGCGGAUGUACGGUACAGCAGAAGCAAUGAUGCAACAAUAGAAGAAUUCAUGAGCUGGACUCUGAGAAUGUAUAUGAUAUAAAGUGUAGCUAAGGCCAUGAGUUAUAUGCAUCAUGAUUGCUUCCCACCAAUUGACAAUCGAGACUUAUCAAGCAAGAAUGUGUUGCUGGGUUUAGAUUAUGAAGCUCAUGUUUCAGAUUCCGGAAUCGCAAAAUUUCUCAAGCCAGACUUGUCCUAUUGGACUGAUUUUGCAGGCGCAUUUGGAUAUGUUGCUCCACAUAUGCAUUCUUAAAUUAACCCAUUGAUCACUUUUUACAUUAAUAAACGUCAUAUCUAACUGAUCAUUUUCAUCUUUCAGUUUUUGUAGAGCUUGUUUACACGAUGAAGAUAAUCGAAAAAUGCAACGGGUAUAGCUUUCCGAGAAUUAGCAUUAGAAGUGAUAAAGGGGAAUUAUCCAAGAGAUUUUAUGUCCUUCCAUCGGGGACAUAUCACUGAAUGAAAUUUCGGACACUCGGCUUUCAACAUCAUCAUGAAAUGUUCAGGACACGCUGAUAUUAAUCAUGGAGGUUGUCUUAUUCGAUGUGGGCCCAGAAUCAAGACCCGCGAUGUACACAAUAUGUCAUUUAAAAAAAAAAAAAGAACUCCAGAAAGUCAAAUGUUUCUUUUUUCUUCUGUAUUUUUUUUUCAUUUUUCGUUUUUGUUGGAUUAAAUAUGACUUUUGAAACUUUUGAUGGUUGUAAAAGAUUUUACACUUUAAUUAAGUACGUGAAUUACACAUUUCAAGCAUUAUUUGACUUUACCCCCAAUCUCUGCCGUAAUGUCAUUUGGCUUUUCUGUCCCUUACUUUGGAUAUGCAUAUUCUGUCAAAGGACAAAAAACUGAAAUAGGAAAAUAGAAGUUGUCAUAAAGUAAAUUAAUAUAUUCGAUAACAUUAUGAACAUCUACGCGCGAAAGCGAUGGCGAUACUUUCAACACAUUGCAGGAAGUGCCUCUAAGUAAGCCCAAUGGGCGUAGUUUUACAGAUAACCGAAAAACCUUAGUUCAAAGUAUAAUGAUCGGCUUCCUAUGAUUUUUUUCUGUUUUUAAUGGCUACCUAUCACAAAUUUAGUAACUUCAGCAAAAUUCUACUGCUUAUAUCUUUUUACUUUAAUAUUAUAAUCACGAUCGGCUUCUUAUGCCUUCUUUUUUUUCAACUCAAAAUAUUUUUCACUACUUCAAGUCUUCAAGCAACUAUUUGGAAGAACAAAUCCAGAGGCCGAUCCAUCAGCGUUGGUACAGGAAGCUUCAGCUGGUUGAUUAUUGUAACUGAGCUUCACAUCCUCCAAGCUAAUUCCAGUGCAUGGAUUCUUCGAACUGCAAUCGAGCUUUACUCCAACUUCUGUUGCCGAUGUUCCAUGAAUAUCUUGAUAUAUCACAUCACUGAUUUUAACCCCCGAAGCCUAUUGAACAAGAAAAAAAAAACAUUUAUUGAGUUGAAUAUUAAUCGCAUCAAUAUUUACGUAAUCACAUCUACAGACAUGUGAUAAGUGAGUAUCGUACCUGUCCAGGACAAUUCUCGUUGUCAGGGCAGUAAUUUUGAUCAAUUAUGAUUGGAUUAUCGACAUUGUUCAUAAGAGCAUGUUGGAAAAGAAUGUUCCUGGCAAAUCCAGUACGGCCAAGGCGGAUGUACGGUACAGCAGUGCACUCCAGCCUCUUGUUGCUCUUUGCCUAAGCUGCCAAUGCUGCAACACAAUCACAAUAUUCAAUUUAAUUAGCACUAAAUAUUUUUACGUACCACCAAAAAUAAAGAGAAAAACAAAUUAUCAUGUUUUUUAAUUUUACCUGAUCCCAUGGCCUGGGCCACAAGCAACAUUUUCAAUCCAUAAGUUGGUGGCGCCAGGCCCAACUGAUACACAGUCAUCACCAGUCCCAAUUUUGCUGUCCAAAAUUGUGACACCACUUGAUGAUUGAACGUGAAUGCCAUCGGUGUUUGGGCUGUCACCGGCGGCCGAAACUUUGACCCCCUGUACUUUCACAUCGUUGCAUCCAUUGAUGACAAUAUGAAACAUCUGGCUAUCUACGGAUGCUAAUCCGUUAAUCACAACGUUGUCUGAGUUGCUAAAGCGAAGUGUCUGCUCAUGUAUAUACAAAAGAAGGAACAUUAAUUAUUAUAACUAAAGCAGGAAGCCAAUCAAUAUGAAAAGCAAAAAGCCACUAAAUUUACGACUAUACAGAUAUAUAUAGGAUAUUUCAACUUAAUUACCGUAGCGCCACUGGGGCAAUUACUAUUGUCCGACUUUUUACAAGCCCACAAGCCAGCACCUUGGCCAUCAAGAACGCCACCAUUAAUAGAAACCCCACUAACAUGCUCAAAUAAAAUCCAGUUUUCGGCAUUUCCGAUAACAUGAUAAUCAGCUGGAGCCACCAGAGUCCCGUCAAUACGUAUGGUAAUAUCAUUGUUCUUGCAUUGGCCUUGAAACACAACAUUGCUUAGUAAGUACCUCCCCGGUGGCACGUAAAUGGUUGCGGCCUCGGCCGAGCCACAGGCUUGAGCCCAUGCAGCAACAAAGGAUUUUACUGAGUCAGUCUGGCCAUCGGGUCUGGCUCCGAAGCUCAGCACGUUGUAACUCAACGGAAUUGCUAAAGAUGAACUAAAGAAGAGAAUCAAAAGAAACGGUAAAAAUUUAAUAGGCAAAGACAUUGAUUUUGACACUGUUUCAAAGUUUUACUUUACUGAUGGAUAUGAGAGAAAUAGAUUUGAGACGUUGAGUAGUUGGGGUGAAGUUGAAAAGAUUUAAAUGGGUAUUUAUAGGAUUUGAAUGAACUGUAGAAAUAUAAAUCACACUAGUAUUGAAUGCAAUCUGCGCAGAAUUACGGGAGUGAUUUUUGCCUUAACUGAUACGAUAUUAAUUUACUAAAAUACCCUUUAACUGAAAUUUGGAUGAUAUUUGAUGACAGAAGCACUGCUGUACCGUACUUCCGCCUUGGCCGUACAGCAGUAAAAGGCAUGUAAACUCCAUGCNNNNNNNNNNNNNNNNNNNNNNNNNNNNNNNNNNNNNNNNNNNNNNNNNNNNNNNNNNNNNNNNNNNNNNNNNNNNNNNNNNNNNNNNNNNNNNNNNNNNNNNNNNNNNNNNNNNNNNNNNNNNNNNNNNNNNNNNNNNNNNNNNNNNNNNNNNNNNNNNNNNNNNNNNNNNNNNNNNNNNNNNNNNNNNNNNNNNNNNNNNNNNNNNNNNAUCUUUAAUUUUUUUUUUAAAAAAAGAGCUGCUGUACCGUACAUCCGCCUUGGCCGUACAGCAGUUGAAGUUACAGCAAAAUAAAACGGUCUAAAAAUCAUUCGGACUAAGUUUUUGGGUAACCUGUAAAUACUGCAUGAAUUAACAUUGGAUAAACGAAAAGUACACAGCUAAUAAUUUUGUCAAAUGCUACAACCACUAAAAGGCCUGCAAACUCAUUCAGAUUGUUCAUUUGUUGGUUAAUAUAUAUUUCCAUUAUCCCUUUGGGCUAUCAAGUCAAUUAUAUGGAUAAGCCUCAGUAUCUAACUUCUAAUCUUACAGGUCAUUGAUUAAAUCGAACGGUUCAUGCUUAUGCAACUAUUAAUAUUGUAAUUUUUAUAGCAGCAUCAUAGAAUGACCCUUGUAUUAUAAUUUUUUUUUCUGAAAGUAAUUAAAUUAUUGUUUGGCCCACAAUUUGAGCAAGUGCCUAAUAAGAAUAUGGAAAUUUCCCGAAUUUCUGAAUGGCCAUUUCUUCAAAAUACAGAUUGUUGUUUUGGUGUCGGAAGGCUAAAUUCAUAAAUAAAGUUUCCCUUGUUUCACGGCUUCCUUGUUUCCGGAAAUUUUUGUUUUUCACGUGACGUUAAUUUGUUGAUCUUACUUUCGCUUAAGAGAAUAAAUUAGGCACACAAUAAAUGUCAGUAUUCAAAUUUCAGCUCUAGUUAUAUCUGGAAAAUGAAUCCAGAGCACAGUUCCAUCAACAUCAACUAUUGAUUUUAAGAAAAAAAUUAAGAAAGCCACGUGAAAAAAAAAAAGAAAAAGAAAAUUUCGUUGAAAGUUGAUAAAAUGUUCGUUAUCAUAGUACGUCUCUUUAUCUAGAUGUUAUUUUUGUAAUUAACAUAAAUAUUUUUUUUCUCAUUUUAUCAAAAUUAUUCAAGUGGGAAGCAGUUUCAGUCCACCGUGUGCAUUUUCGUUAAUGAAAUUAUUUUCUUCUUAUUUCUUAUAACUAGCCGCAAUUUUGCUAGUUUCGAAAGGGAUGUUUUGACAUAAAGUUCAACUUUUUUCCUUUUCUUUUUAGUGGUUACAAUUUUUGUGCACAUUACUGAUUGACUUGUUUCAAUUACUCAGAUUAAGCAAACAAUCAAGCCACAUUACUAGGUUAUCAAGAAAGAGCAGUUACCAGUUAGGUCCCUCAGGUCAAAGACGUGACUUAUUUUAGUCAAUUGCUUUAUGUUAAUCAAAAUUUGGCAGAAGUUAAUUAACCGACUACAAGUUCACCACAUGCGGAUUUCAACCGCCCAACUGAAAAAAGGUUUAUGAGUGUUGACCAAAUGAUUUUUUUAUACAUUACUAGUUGUUUAAGGGAUUUACUUUCACACAGUACCAUUAAUUGUUGGAGUUAGCUAAUCUAACGGUAACUUCUAUUGGUGGUAUCGCCUCAAAUUUUGUUUUAUAAUUAAUUUUAAAUGUAUGUGAAGAGCUUGACUGCCAAUUUCUUUAUUUAUUUUUCAGAUAAAAAAUUGUUUUACAAAACAAAAAAAGAAUAUGUUAUUAAGGAAGCUCACAUCAGUAGCAUAGACUGUAAAGCAGAGGAUAGCAGCAGCUCCAGCUUACGGUUGAGAGUUUAUGACAUGGCAUGCCAGCUGGCACCUGGUGGUUAUGUAAUCACUUGUACACGUGAUAAUCAGCUGAAGUUGUUAUAGUUAGUUAGAAUUAGCAGUAGUUUGUAACAGUCAAAAUGAUGUUGAUAUCUGCCACCUGGAAUAUCAUAUCAUACCAUUUUUUUUAUAUUUUUUUUCAGAAAAAUAAAAAUCUAUAAGGGAAUUAGAAAUCUCACCCACGAAACUCCAACCAUCACCCACUAUUAUUACUAGUACUCGACUAACCUAAUGCAUGUGGAAUAUAAAAUUUAGUUUAGAUGAAUUAAAUUACGUUGGAUUUCUUUAGGUGUUGAAAACUUGUUUAAUUUUUUUCUGUACAUACAAUAAUAUCCUUUCGAAAAUUUAAUUAAGAGUAAUUGCCAGAAUUCAACAAAUCACAUCUAUCUUUAAUUUUUUUUUUAAAAAAAGAGAAAAAUAAACUAAAAAAAAGAAAGAAAAGAAAAUGCCCGUAACAAGCCCCAAAACAUGGAAUGUAGCAGUCGCAAACCAAAAAGCUCAAUACACAUUUGUCUGCGCAUGUGAGUGUUCAAGACAUGAAUUAAUGGACUCUUGAAGUAAUUUAUAUUUACUGUCUCUGCUGUUAAUCUAAAACCAAAAACUAAAUAUUGCCAUGAAUUUAGGGUUUAAAUAAUUAUUGCUGUUUUUAAAGAAUAUGAAGGAAUCAAUAUUUAUAUAACCUACAGAGCAUGUGAGCUUAGCAAAAAUGGAGGAACGGUGCGAUAUGAAACGAUUUUUUCAUUAAAACAUCAUGCAAUGCUUUAAAUGGAGAUGCAUGUUUGAAAUAAAAAAUAAAAACAACAUAAAGAAGGAGGGUUGACUGUAUGGGGAUUUGUGCUUAUAAUUUAGGCUCACAUAGCUUCCUUUGACUGAAGAACAUACGUGCAAGCAAACUCACAAAUGGCAUUGUGCCACUUAGAAGUAAGAGAAGCACAUCAAUCAUUGAACUUCUUCUUUUUUUUUUCUGAAUCAAUUGUUUUAAGGAAGCACAUCUCAGCUGCUUAGUCAAAGAUCAGUCAAUACAAAGAGUGGCCAAUGAAGCCAAGUGAGCAGAGUGAUUAAGAGUGUGCCAGAUCAUUGACAGCUCAGCUUAUUAGUUACACAUAUCUAUUGUGCUCUAUAUCUUUCAUUUUUGUUAUUUUAUGUUUUUAGUGUUAGCAGUUAGUUACAGUUUAUAGUUAAGCUCACGAGCUUGAUAUAAAUACUUUGUUUUACUAUUUUUGAUAUUAAGUGAAAUAAACAAUAAACAUUCAUUUCCAGAAUAUUCUUUUCCUCUGUAAACUUUUUUUCUUCCAAACACAAUACGAUUUUCCUUUAUGGUAUCAGAGCCAGAUCAAUAUGGCUAGCUCCAGCAAUCCAAUUGUAAACACAAACACUAAUUCAAUAAGCUCAACAAAUUUUUCAUUCAUCACUCAUGUGAAGUUAGAUCGAAUCAAUUACUUAAUUUGGUGAUCUCAAGUAUUAGCUUCCAUAAGAGGCAACAGACUUGAAGGUUUUAUUAAUGGAACAAAAUUUGAACCAGAGCAGUGCAUUACUCGCAGAACAGCUGAGGGAUCUGCUGAUUGAGAAUCCAGAGUUUAUCACCUGGAAAUCACAAGAUCAAACACUUCUUGGCUGGCUCUUAUCUUCAAUAAGUGAAGGUACACUUGGUCUUGUUAUUAAUCUUGAUAGUUCAUAUACUGUAUGGAAAACACUUGAGAAGAAAUUUGGAGUACAAUAUGAAGCUAAGGUACUUCAAAUCAAGUAUGAAAUAAACACUUUAAAGAAAGAAUCAAUGAAUGUUGAAGAUUAUUGCAUGAAAAUGAAAGCAUUAGCUGAUAAGCUUGCUUGUGCUGGGAGUCCUUUGAAUGAUAGAGAAUUGUUGCUGCACAUUCUAAAUGGUCUUGGACCAGGCAAUCUAGAUUUAGCUUCUUUUAUCACUGCUUGUAGAAUGGAUUUUGAUGAUGCAUAUGCAUUGUUGGUCACUCAUAAACCUAGGCUUGAGCAACAAGAGCAAGAUGCUAAAACUGUUUUCAAUGCUAAUUUUGCACAAGGCAUGUUCAAUGGUAAUUUUGCACAAACAAGGGGAAACUAUAGAAGAGGUGGUUAUACAUGAGGUUUUCAAGGCAAUUAUCAUGGUGGAAGAGGAUCAGGCACUGGUAGAAGUUUUCCUUUAAGAAUUUUUUUUGGAUUUAAUGGUUUCAAUGGAGGAUACUCUGGCUUUGGUGGUUAUGGUAGCGGUCAAAACAUGCAUCAGAUGAAAGGAAAAGUCUUCAAUGGCAUGUCUCCUACUAUGCCAUCCAAUUUUUCUGGAAAUUCACAUCAAAAUGCUGCUAGCAUUUCUUAUGAAGUUAUAAUCUGUCAAAUCUGUUCUAAAUCUGGACAUAGUGCUGAUGUUUGCUGGUAUAGAUUCAAUGAGGAUUUUAUUCCAGCUCCAUCUAGAGUUUACAAUAAAGGAAAAACUCCAAAGUUUGCUUAUAUGACUAAUUUUGAACCAGUUAAUUACAUGCCAUCUUAUAUGCCUAGUUUUGAUGAAUAUUCUGCUGGAAUGUCUCCUGUAUGCAUGCCUGGUUUUCAUACUCCAUAUUCCCCUGGAACUGCUUAUAUGGCCAAUUUUGAAGGGCCUGCUGAUGAAAGUUGGUAUUUCGAUAGUGGAGCUACACAUCAUCUACCAAACAACAUGACCAAUAUACAUAUCAGAGAGGAAUUCAAAGGUAAUGAUCAACUCAUCAUAGGAAAUGGUCAAGGCCUAACUAUCACUCAUGUUGGUAAUGCUUCUCUUCGUUUGUCUGGUUCUAAAACUACUUGCAUUCUGCUAAAGGAUAUACUGCUUGUACCUUCUAUAACUAAAAAUCUUUUAAGCAUAUCUAAACUAACCUCAGAUAAUAACAUUUCUAUUGAAUUUUGUGUUAAUGUUUGUUUUGUGAAGGACAAAAUGAAAGGACAAGUUCUUCUGCAGGGACUUUCUGAGAAAGGACUGUACAAGCUGCAACUUAAACCCAGUUCACCCAAUACUCAAUCUCAUGAGUCACAUAUGUCAGUUGUUCAUUUAAAUAAGCCUUUGUCUAUGUUGUCUUUUGUCAAUAGAAACAAUCAGACCUCAAAUAAAUGUGAUUCUUUUGCUAAGGCUUGUUUCAAUUUUGUUUCAUCAAAUUGUACUCAAGCAGUUGAUCAAUUAACCUUGUUACAUAGAAAGUUUGGUCAUCCAAAUUUGAAUGUUCUAAUACACUUGCUGAAGUUUUAUAAUUGUGCUAAAGUCUCUCUGCAGUCACUCAAAAAUUCUAGUCAUAAUGUGUGUGAAGCCUGUCAAUUGGGAAAAUCUCAUAGGCUACAUUUUGCAACUACAGAUACCACAACUACUCAUGUUUUGGAGCUUAUACACACAAACCUUUGGGGGCCUUCACCAUUUCUGUCUAGGAAUGGAUAUAAGUACUAUAUUAGCUUUGUUGAUGAUUAUAGCAGAUAUACAUGGAUUUAUCCCCUCAAGCUUAAGUAAGAAGCUUUAACAGUUUUAAGUUGUUCAAACUUCAGGUUGAAAAUCAGUUCAGCACAUCUAUCAAGAUGUUGCAAUCUGAUUGGGGGGGGGGGAGAAUAUAGAGUGUUUACAGAUUUUCUAAAUCAAAAUGGUAUUAUUUUUAGACACUCAUAUCCUUAUACACAUCAUUAAAAUAGAUUAGUGGAAAGAAAACAUAGACAUAUAGUUGAACUUGGUUUAACUCUGCUAGCUCAAGCAAAUUUAUCUUUUCAAUACUGGUGGGAUGCCUUUCAUACUGCAGUAUUUCACAUCAAUAGGUUACCCACUCUAGUGCUCAAGAAUCAAACACCAUACGAGAAUUUGUUUAAACAUAAAGCAGAUUAUAGUUUUCUUAAGUGUUUCGGCUAUUUAUGUUAUCCAUUCUUGAAAGACUAUAAUAAGCACAAGUUUGAUUUUCAUUCCAACAAGUGUAUAUUCAUUGGGUAUAGUCCAUCACACAAGGGUUAUAAAUGUCUUCAUCCUUCAGGUCGAGUGUAUAUUGUCAGACAUAUCACAUUUGAUGAAACUUGUUUUCCUUCAACUCUCCUUGAUGAUAAAACCAAUAUUUCACCUUGUGUCACUGAGUCUGUCAAAUCACUUAACCAACAAUAAGUUUUUCACUUGUCUACCUUGCCAUAUAUUCCUGAUAGCAGAUUUGAAGAACCUUUCUCAGCAGGAACCAGCAGUAACAUAACUCAAUCUUUAUCAAGUUCUAAUCAUACAAUUACUGCUCAACAAAAUCAACAAUAUGAUUUACUUGGAUCUCGAGAUUACACACAAACACUAAUUACAAACAAUUCACCUGUAUCAGCUAAAAUUUUUCAACCAGAACCUCAAAAUCCAAUUUUAUCACAUGACAUAUCAACCAACACAUCUUCACAGAACCAGAAAACUAUUCAUCAACCAACACACAAAAUGAUCACUAGAGCUAAAUCAGGCAUAAUCAAACCAAAGGUGUAUUGUGCUACUCUAUCAAAUAGGGAACCAGAUACAGUUGAAGAAGCAUUAGAAGAUCCAAGGUGGUAUCAGGCAAUGAAAGAUGAGUAUGAUGCAUUAAUGAAGAACAAUACUUGGAUUCUAGUACCUAAAUUCUCUGACCAUAAAGUUGUUGACAAUAAAUGGAUAUUUAGAGUCAAGUAUAAUACUGAUGGUAGUGUUGCUAAGUUUAAAGCCAGACUUGUUCCAAAGGGAUUUCAACAAGUAGCAGGAGUUGAUUACUUUGAGACUUUCAGUCCAGUAAUUAAACCAGCUACAGUUUGAGUGGUGUUAAGCUUGGCUGCAAUGAACAACUGGAAAAUAAGGCAAGUAGAUAUUAAUAAUGCAUUCUUGAAUGGUGAUUUGAUUAAGGAUGUCUUUAUGAUGCAACCUAAGGGUUUUAUCAAUGUUUAUAAACCUGGUCAUAUUUGCAAAUUGAACCAGGCACUUUAUGGACUAAAGCAGGCUCCUAGAGCAUGGUUUGAUAAGCUCAAGGAAACUUUGAUUAAGUGGGGAUUUCAGAACUCAAGGGCAGAUACAUCACUGUUCUUGAAGAAAGAAAAAGGAUCUAUGAUUAUGGUACUAAUCUAUGUGGAUGAUAUAUUAAUUACAGGUCCUAACAGCAAAGCUCUUGAAGAUUUUAUUUCUCAUUUCAGUUUAGUUUUUGCCUUAAAAGAUCUAGGGAUUUGUCUUAUUUCCUGGGGAUUGAAGUCUCUUACUACAAUGGAAGUAUUUUCUUGUCUCAAAGGAAAUAUAUUAGAGACUUGUUGGCAGAACCAGAGCUUUUAAACUGUAAAGGUUGUGACACACCAAUGACUACAAGAACAAAGCUUCAGAAACAAGCUUAUGUUUCACUUGGUCAAUUCAUUGAAGAUCCUAUAGCAUAUAGAAGUUUGGUUGGAGGCUUACAAUAUGUAAUACUUACAAGGCCUGAGAUAGCUUUUGCAGUACAUAAGCUUAGUCAAUAUGUUGCUAUGCUAACUUUACAGCAUCUAAUGGCGUGCAAGAGAGUGUUAAGAUACUUAAAGGAAACUCAGGAUUAUGGACUGAAAUUUGGAACUGAAGGAGAGCUGAGACUGACUGGAUACACAGAUACAGAUUGGGCUUGUGACAUUGAUGACAGGAAUUUAGUUGGUGCAUAUUGCAUAUACUUGGAAAAUAAUCUAACUCAUGGUCUUCUAAGAAACAAUCAGUUAUGACAAGAUCUAGUGCUGAAAGUGAAUAUAGAUCUCUUGCUUCAGCUUGUGCAGAAAUUACUUGGCUUCAAUCAUUAUUCAGUGAAAUGAAUCUGUAGUGCACUUCAACUCCAGUGAUAUGGUGUGAUAAUAAAAGUGCCACUGAGCUUGCAAAGAACCCAGUUUAUCAUUCAAGAACCAAACAUAUUGAAUUGGAUAUGCACUUCAUUAGAGACAAAAUUGUUGCCAAAGAAUUGCAGAUCAAUUAUAUACCCAGUGAAGAACAAAUUGCAGAUGCUUUAACCAAACCCUUAACCUUUAAUCAUUUUAAUUUUUUCAGAAGCAAACGCAAUGUGCAACCUUGCCCAUUGAGUUUGAGGGGGGCUAUUAAGGAAGCACAUCUCAGCUGCUUAGUCAAAGAUCAGUUAAUGCAAAGAGUGACCAAUGAAGCCAAGUCAGCAGAGUGAUUGAGAGUGUGCCAGAUCAUUGACAGCUCAGCUUAUUAGUUACACAUGUCUAUUGUGCUCUGUAUCUUUCAUUUUUGUUAUUUUUUGUUUUAAGUGUUAGCAGUUAGUUACAGUUUAUAGUUAAGCUCACGAGCUUGAUAUAAAUACUUUGUUUUACUAUUUUUGAUAUUAAGUGAAAUAAACAAUAAACAUUCAUUUCCUGAAUAUUAUUUUCCUCUGUAAAUUUGUUUUCUUCCAAACACAAUACGAUUUUCCUUUAAAUUGUGACGGUGGCUUAGUUUGGCUGCGUUUAUUAUAUCAGGAUAGGGGCCAAAUCCUUUUGCUUGUUUCUAAUUUUCGAUGUAUAAAGUGUCGCCUUUACCUUUCCCAAGAUACAUAGUUCUACUUUUGGGUCGAUCAGGACCUUUUUCUUUUCUCAUUCCUAAUUUUUAAGCACUUUAACCCUAGCUCACUUUAUGCACAUGUGGAAAUUAACCUCUUUGAAAUUGUGGGUGAGAGAGAUGAUCAUUUUAUUUUUCGAAAUUAAAAUUUUGAUUCGACAAAGGUUAUAAAGGAGAAAUAACAAACUUAAAGAGACUGUAACAAAAAAUGCAAAGUGAUACAAACUCUUAAAAUAAUUUAAAUUAUUUAAUUUAUUUAUUCAAUUUUAUGGUAUUAGUUAAUUUUGAACUAAUCAAAAGUAGUUACACUUAUUUUGUGGAACUACAUGUAAGUAGUGGAGCAUUAUGUGAGAACAUCUUAGUGUUACUAAUUUUUAAGUUGUAAUCUUAAAUAAGCUUUAUUCUACAAAGUUUGAUAUUAUUCAACAAAAAGCAUCAUGAGUUUAUUAUUUUGGCAACAUAAAAGUUGUAAUUGAGAGUUUAUUGGUUACUCGAAUAACCAAUACUUAUUUGGAGGCUUGGGUUUCCUCGAAUUAACCCCAUUUCGUUGGUAAAUUUGGUGGGUGAAGCAGACACACAACUAAAGUGAAAUUGAGAAAUAAUGAUCACAUAGGGACACCAAAAUUUAUGUGGUUUGACUUUUAGCCUACGUUCACGGGCGAAGAUAGAAGGAAAAUUACAAGUAUUGUAAUGUUUUGUCUCACAACCCAGAACACAAUUACACCCAAACUCUCAAAAACACUAGAACUAGAGCUCAAAGAUCUCAACACUCUUAAUUUACACCUCUUAGCACUCUCACUUGAAUUGGAGAAAAUGGGAUGAAUGAAGAGGACAAAUGAAGCUGCUAAUUAUAGGUCAGGAAAUGCCCAAAAACCAACAAUGGCGGGCACUAAAGUAAUAUAAAUUUCUCUCAAAUUUCCACUUUGGUGCUGAAGUCAAAGGUUGCAUGUGAAAUAUAAGUGUGCAACCCAAGAGGGGGGUGAAUUGGUAUUUUAAAAAUUAUCCUAGCAAAUCCACACAACAAACAAUCUAACUUCUUAAUAAAAUUGAAAACAAUAAGUUCAAUAAAAGCACAAUAACAAAUGAGUAAGAGAGAAGAGAAAGAAACACACGAAUUUUUACAUGGUUCGGCAAUCCCCGCUUACGUCCACGCCUCCAAGCGAUCCAAGCUUGAGGAUUUCACUAUCCGAGCCUUUCCAAGGAUUCAACCGUUUACAAUUGACUUCAAGGUGUCAAUGGACCUUUACAACAAAGAGAUUAUCUCCCAAUCUCUUCACUCAAGUGUCUCACACACUCAAACACUUACAAUUAAGAUGAAGAAAUGAAAGUUACAACAAAACUCACUCAAAGAGUAGAUAUUCAAAAAUGAAGAUUAAGAGAUGAUUCAAUGUGUUUUGUGAUUUGCAAAUUGAAAGCUCAAGAUAUCUCGUGUGCUUUUUGAUUAUGCUUGCUGGAGAGAUUGAAAAUGAAUUGGAUUUGAGUUUAUAUAGUUUGAGCUCAAAAACUAGCCGUUAUGCACAUUUUGGUCGUAACCGGCUUACCGUUUAUAGAAUCCGGUUAGCCGCUUUUAUGUUACCGUUAAGGCAAAAAUUUAAAUUUCGGAAUAUCCGGUAUGCCGCUUUUCAUAUCUGGUUAGCCGCUUGCAACAGUGAAAUAUUUUCUAAAUUUAUAAUUUGACCCCAAAACUUUAUAAAAACUGUAUUAUAGCCCAAAACGUUAUGAAAACUUUUAAAUAGGUCCAAUUUCAUAAUUUCUAAAUAAUGCUUUGUCAAUCCCAAAACUUUCUGAAAUUAUGAUUUCACCCAAACUAGGUGAAAUUAUAGAAUGACCCAAAAUAUUUAAAUAGUUUCAAAUAAGUCCAAAUCUGAAAUUUUAAAACAAUUUCAAAGAUUUUAAAAUACUUUCAUUUUAGUCCAAAACACUUUAAUUCUAUAACAUCAUUUUCUUAUUAUAAAAGCACAAUUCAUAAAUCUUUGUUUAAUCAAUACAUGUGGUUUGUUAUCAUCAAAAUCAAUAUCUAUAGCCAUAUAGGCUAACAGCAUGCCUCCUACUCACUCAACAAAUUUAUGCCAAGAGUCAAAAGUUGCAUGCUAGUCACAUGCAAUUGUUUGCCACAUGCAUGCACAUGUUCAACACAUUUGUCGUCUAAUUUUUCUAUUUCAUUUGAUUUCUCCUUAUAAACAUUAGUGUUCGUAUCAUUUGGUAUUAGAGAUUGGUAAUAAAAAAGGAGUAAAUCCUUACAGUGGAGCAGAGAAUUGAGAGCAUUCAGAAGAUGAUGGAGGGUAUAAUUCUUAAGUAGAAGGAACUUACCAAGAAAUUAUUGUGCAAAAUGGAUGAAAUUUCAAGAACAUGGGAUGCAAGGUUGAACUCAGGUAGCCCUCAUAUCAAACUUGUGAAAGAAAAUUCUACGUCUUUGGUUGAAGUUCAACGUCUCCAACAAAGUGACAAUUUGGCAACUGCAACGCAUGAUGGAGGUGUUAAACAAUGCAGCAAAGUAGUGGUGGCAUCAUCGAAGAAAAUUCCACAAAUCAACAUUCAAAAGGUUUGAGUUUUCGAAAAUUCCAUAAAUCAACAUUCAAAAGGUUUGAGUUUUCUCUUACAAGUCAAAGGUGCAGAGUGUUUAUUUUAAGGACAAAGCCAAAUUGCCUAGCCACCAUGAUGAGAAAUUAUUCAUCCGUAAAGUGCCAAAAAUUGAGAUGAAGAACAUGGUUGGAUCAAUGGUGAAUUUUCAAAAGAGCUUCAAGGCAUCAUUAUAUCUAAUUAUGAAUUGGAAACGGAAGAGAAAGCAAAUUAUUUCAAAAAAAUCUACCCUUGAGGACAACAGUAUUUUCAAGGGGGAAGGAAUGAUACAAACUCUUAAAAUAAUUAAAAUUAUUUAUUUUACUUAUUUAAUUUUAUGGUAUUAGUUAAUUUUGAACUAGUCAAAAGUAGUUGCACUUAUUUUGUGGAACUACAUGAAAGUAGUGGAGCAUUAUGUGAGAAAAUUACCUAUUAAUAAACCAUAGGUAAUUUUCUAUUUGUAGGUAAUAUAUAUGCUUGUGGAUAGAAUUUUAUUUUAAUUAAAUGUAAAUAUUGUCUUAAUCACUAACAAAUAAAAAUAUUAAACAUGCAAAUAUACAUAUUAAUUUAGAUUUAUGCAUAAUAAAUAUUGAAAUAUUAUUUAACCUUCACCAACACAUAUUAACAGUGAUCUCUUUUUAUUAUUUAUAAUUGGAACAAUACAAUUUUAAUUUCUUGGCAUUAUAUUUAUUAAUCUACUAAAUUUUUGGUGAGAAAGAAAGAAAGAAUAUUAUUAAAAAUAAUUUUCAAUUAUGUUAGUAUUAAACAAUAGUUUAAAAAAUAUAUAAUUUUAGAUAGAUUGUAACUUUUUUUAAAUCUGGUCGGAAGGCUAAAUUCAUAAAUAAAGUUUCCCUUGUUUCCGAAAAUUUCAAAGUUCAGCUCUAGUUACAUAUGGAAAAUGAAUCCGGAGCACAGUUCCAUCAACAUCAACUAUUGAUUUUUAAAGAAAAAAAAAGUUGAAAAGCCAUGUGAAAAAAUGAAAAUUUCAAUGAAAGUGGAUAAAAUGCGUUGCGACUAUGGGUUACAUAGCAAGAUACAUCAGUGCUGACGAUUUUUUGCUUUUACUAAAUUGAUGGAAAUAUCAUAAAGUUUCAAAGAAAACAAAUAUGUUUUCUCAUUUUAUCAAGAUUAUUCAGAUGGGAAGAAGUUUCCUAGCCGCAAUUUUCCUACUUUCGAAAUGGAGAGAAAAUUACCUAUUAAUAAACCAUAGGUAAUUUUCUAUUUGUAGGUAAUAUAUAUGCUUGUGGAUAGAAUUUUAUUUUAAUUAAAUGUAAAUAUUGUCUUAAUCACUAACAAAUAAAAAUAUUAAACAUGCAAAUAUACAUAUUAAUUUAGAUUUAUGCAUAAUAAAUAUUGAAAUAUUAUUUAACCUUCACCAACACAUAUUAACAGUGAUCUCUUUUUAUUAUUUAUAAUUGGAACAAUACAAUUUUAAUUUCUUGGCAUUAUAUUUAUUAAUCUACUAAAUUUUUGGUGAGAAAGAAAGAAAGAAUAUUAUUAAAAAUAAUUUUCAAUUAUGUUAGUAUUAAACAAUAGUUUAAAAAAUAUAUAAUUUUAGAUAGAUUGUAACUUUUUUUAAAUCUUUAAAUAGAUUGGUCUGAUAGCCUGUUAAUUUUAAAUUAUUAAAAUUAAAAUAUUGCACUAACUGGCUUCUAAUUUUAUAAGCCAUUGAUUAAAUCCAACAGUUCAUAUUUAUGCGACUAUUAAUACUUAACAGCAUCAUAGCAUGACCCUUGUAUUGUAAUUCUUUUUCUUUUUUCUGAAAGUAACUGAAUUAUUGUUUGACCCACAAUUUUAGAAAAUGCCUAAUAAGAAUAUUGAAAUUCCUGAAUUCUUAAUGGCCAUAUCUUCAAAACACAGAUAGUUGUUUUGGGUCGGAAGGCUAAAUUCAUAAAUAAAGUUUCCCUUGUUUCCGAAAAUUUCAAAGUUCAGCUCUAGUUACAUAUGGAAAAUGAAUCCGGAGCGCAGUUCCAUCAACAUCAACUAUUGAUUUUUUAAGAAAAAAAAAUUGAAAAGCCAUGUGAAAAAAUGAAAAUUUCAAUGAAAGUGGAUAAAAUGCGUUAUGUAGCAAGAUACAUCAGUGCUGACGAUUUUUUGCUUUUACUAAAUUGAUGGAAAUAUCAUAAAGUUUCAAAGAAAACAAAUAUGUUUUCUCAUUUUAUCAAGAUUAUUCAGAUGGGAAGAAGUUUCCUAGCCGCAAUUUUCCUACUUUCGAAAUGGAUGUUUGAGAUGAGUUCAACCCCCUUUCUUUUUUUUUUUUUUAUUACAAUUUUUAUGCAUAUUACUGUUUUACUUGUUUCAAUUACUCAGAUUAAGCAAACAAUCAAGCCACAUUACUAGGUUAUCAAGAAAGAGCAGUUACCAGUUAGGUCCCUCAGGUCAAAGCCAUGACUUAUUUUAGUCAAUUGCUUUAUAUUAAUCAAAAUUUGGCAGAAGUUAAUUAACCGACUACAGAAAGGUUGAGGGGCUACAUGAAAUUUUACAAAAAAAAAAUUAGGUUUUAAAAAACGUGGCUUUAGAAGAGUAAGUGGGGGCGGCUGAUACAAAGAAAAAAAGCACAAAAAGACGAGAGAAGAAAAGGAAGAACAGUGGCUAACUAUUAUAAUUUGGGGGUAAAAUUUUUAAUCUUUGAUUAGAUAAUCAUAAGGUUAAAUUAACUUCGUUUUCUCCCAAAUUUUGAUGGUAAGUUUCUGGCAUCACCCUCUAUAAUUCUACUGGUCUUGAUUUUUAUUCUAUUUUCUCGUUGACUAUUAUUUGAGAUAACCACUUGUUAGAGAGAUAGAUAUUAGGAUGUUACUGUAAGCUAGGAAUAUUGAGAUUUUUUAUAUUGUUAGCCUCUAGUAUUAUCUAGAAAAGAAUUUGUAUUGUAUCUCUUGUGGUUGAUUUAUUACUCUGGAUUUUGUUGGUUUAUUUUUCUGCCUAUUUAUUUGUGAUACACAUCCUAUUUUAAUCACAUAAAGAGGGAAAUAGUUUUAUUUCCGCUUAAUUUGCAACUGCUUGUGUGUACUGUUAGAUCAUGGAUUGAUCAGAGUGUGUACCAUCAUGUCGUGAAGGAAUCCACGGUUGAUGUUCUUUGGAGAAAAUUAAAGAUAAUUUAUGAGCAGCCGACAACACAUAACAAAGCCAAUUUGAUGAAAAGGUUUGUUAAUUUGAAACACAAGAAGGGGUGUAGUAUAACUGAACACACUGAUGAGUUUUAGGGCUUGGUUAUCAGUUGACUGCUGUUGUGCAAAUUUUAUUGAACUCGCAAGUGCACGAAUCUAUUGUAGUAUAAAUCAAUGGUGACGAGUGUCAAUCCCACGAGGAUGUGGAUUUUAAUUAUAUGUAGAAUUAAUUUUGUAUGAAGGUGGUUGGAUUUGUGGUGAAAAUGAUUUGGAUUAUCCUAAAAUUGGAAUUUAAAUGGCGAGAAUAAAUUGAAUAGAAAUCUAUUAAAAUGACAUACUUGGGUAUCUGGAUCCGUAUCAACAUGCAUCAUGAGCUAAAUAUUCCUUAUUAAUACCAAUUAAAUCAUGAGGGGGGAAUCUACACCUCAUGAACCACACUCUAAUCAAUAUGGUGCUAAUGGCUUAUCAUGCCAAAUAAUAAUAACCUUGUACUAGGGGGCCGGUGAAACCAAGACGGUACUAGACAAGAUUAGUAUUAUUUGUCGACGAGAAGUCAAAACAUCCACAAAAAUUAGAGGGGAAGAGAAAAUAAAUUUACCAAAUAAAGCCCAUGACACAUGUUGAGACUUCACAUUCAACCCAAGCUUGAAAGAAAAUUAGCUACUCAUAAUUAAACUAGGGGUAAAAUGGGAAUUUAUUAAAAUACGUAGAAAAUACAAGAUGGAGAGAGAAUUACAGAAAAUAGAGUCCAAAAAUGGAUUCAGAGAUAUCAAAUUAGGGGGGGAAGGCCCCCUUUUUAUAGAUACAUUGAGUAAAUCGUGGCCAUCGGAUUAAAAACAAUUUGGACACUCAGGAUUGCGCCACGUCAUCAGUCAACAGUACGUAAGAAUUUUAGUCCAACAGGAUCGUGACACCUCAUCAGUCAAUGCCACAUCAUCGAUCAAUGCCACGUCAUCGAUCCGUCUAUGUGAACAGUGUCGUAAACAGUAACGUAGACAGUUCCGUACACGUGAAUAGUACCAUAUAUGUGAACAGUGCCAUUUUUCCUUUUAUGCUCCUCCUAAGGUUUUCGACCAUCCUAAGUUCAAAAGUGAUGUCCGUUUUGCCGUCUGAUCUCUCGUUUAUUGUGAAAUGACCAUGUUGCCCCUAAAAUACAUAAAAUACUUAAUUAAAAUAAAAACACACAUAAUUAAAUUACAAGAAGCUUAAAUACAUAAAAGUAAGGGUUAUUAGUAAGACGUGAAAUGUAAAAUGACGAUUUUCUCCUUUAUAAAUAUACAUUUUCUAACACUCAACAACUGCUAUGAAAAUUAUUUGAGAUAACGAGUUACAAGGAUUGUUGUUACUUAGUUCUUUACCUGACAAUUGGGGGACAUUAGUGGUGUCAGUGAAUAAACCAGAGCUGAACAGGAAAUUAACAUUGGGUAUAGUUACAAAGAGGUUACAGAAUGAAGAAUCUAAAAAAAAAAAGUGUUGAAGCAGUUCUCUCUAAGUUAGAUGCACUCCUUUCAGAAAAGCAAGAAAGACGGGGGAGAAGUCAAACUAGAAAUUCCGCCCAACAGAACAAUGAUAACUGUAGAGAAAUAUUUAAAUCCCAAAGGAGAAACAUGAAGUGCUUUCAUUGUCAAAAAAUGGGUCAUGUUAAAAUGGAGUGUAGAUUGUGGAAAAGAGAACAGGCGAAAGAAAAGGGCGAUGCUCAGAAAAAUGACAAAGACAACAUUGCAGCCAUAGUUGAUGGUCAUAUGUGUAUUGUUUAUGAUGAGUGCUCGGUAAAUCUCACUUGCCACACCAGUGAUUGGGUGAUUGAUUUGGGUGCUUCGCUUCAUGUUACUGCACGUCGUGACUACUUCACAAACUAUGUUAAUGGCGAUUAUGACCAUGUUCGGAUAGGAAAUGAGAGAGCAUACAAGAUUGUGGGCAUAGAAGAUAUUUGCUUGGAAACCAGCAUUGGUUGUAAGUUGUUGCUUAAAGAUGUCAGACAUGUACUAGAUAUUCACCUUAAUUUGAUCUCUAUAUGUAAGCUUAAUGAUGAUGGUUAUACUAACCAAUUUGGUGAAGGAAAAUGGAAGUUCACCAAAGGCUCCCUAAUGUUAGCUAAGGGGGGAAAGUAAACACUCUCUAUGUGAUAGAAGCCAAGAUUAAGAAAGAAGAUAUGAAUGUGCUGUAAAAGAUUCUGACAUUGAGACAAGGCACGAAAUGCUUGUUCACAUUGGUGAGAAAGGGUUAGAAACUCUUGCCAAAAAAGGAUUUAUACCCAGCUUCGCAGGUAUGUCCCUCAAGACCUGUGUUCAUUGCUUAACUGAAAAGGCACACGAAGUAGCUUAGGAUCGUGACACCUCAUCAGUCAAUGCCACAUCAUCGAUCAAUGCCACGUCAUCGAUCCGUCUAUGUGAACAGUGUCGUAAACAGUAACGUAGACAGUUCCGUACACGUGAAUAGUACCAUUGAGAUUUUUUAUAUUGUUAGCCUCUAGUAUUAUCUAGAAAAGAAUUUGUAUUGUAUCUCUUGUGGUUGAUUUAUUACUCUGGAUUUUGUUGGUUUAUUUUUCUGCCUAUUUAUUUGUGAUACACAUCCUAUUUUAAUCACAUAAAGAGGGAAAUAGUUUUAUUUCCGCUUAAUUUGCAACUGCUUGUGUGUACUGUUAGAUCAUGGAUUGAUCAGAGUGUGUACCAUCAUGUCGUGAAGGAAUCCACGGUUGAUGUUCUUUGGAGAAAAUUAAAGAUAAUUUAUGAGCAGCCGACAACACAUAACAAAGCCAAUUUGAUGAAAAGGUUUGUUAAUUUGAAACACAAGAAGGGGUGUAGUAUAACUGAACACACUGAUGAGUUUUAGGGCUUGGUUAUCAGUUGACUUCUCCUUUAUAAAUAUACAUUUUCUAACACUCAACAACUGCUAUGAAAAUUAUUUGAGAUAACGAGUUACAAGGAUUGUUGUUACUUAGUUCUUUACCUGACAAUUGGGGGACAUUAGUGGUGUCAGUGAAUAAACCAGAGCUGAACAGGAAAUUAACAUUGGGUAUAGUUACAAAGAGGUUACAGAAUGAAGAAUCUAAAAAAAAAAAGUGUUGAAGCAGUUCUCUCUAAGUUAGAUGCACUCCUUUCAGAAAAGCAAGAAAGACGGGGGAGAAGUCAAACUAGAAAUUCCGCCCAACAGAACAAUGAUAACUGUAGAGAAAUAUUUAAAUCCCAAAGGAGAAACAUGAAGUGCUUUCAUUGUCAAAAAAUGGGUCAUGUUAAAAUGGAGUGUAGAUUGUGGAAAAGAGAACAGGCGAAAGAAAAGGGCGAUGCUCAGAAAAAUGACAAAGACAACAUUGCAGCCAUAGUUGAUGGUCAUAUGUGUAUUGUUUAUGAUGAGUGCUCGGUAAAUCUCACUUGCCACACCAGUGAUUGGGUGAUUGAUUUGGGUGCUUCGCUUCAUGUUACUGCACGUCGUGACUACUUCACAAACUAUGUUAAUGGCGAUUAUGACCAUGUUCGGAUAGGAAAUGAGAGAGCAUACAAGAUUGUGGGCAUAGAAGAUAUUUGCUUGGAAACCAGCAUUGGUUGUAAGUUGUUGCUUAAAGAUGUCAGACAUGUACUAGAUAUUCACCUUAAUUUGAUCUCUAUAUGUAAGCUUAAUGAUGAUGGUUAUACUAACCAAUUUGGUGAAGGAAAAUGGAAGUUCACCAAAGGCUCCCUAAUGUUAGCUAAGGGGGGAAAGUAAACACUCUCUAUGUGAUAGAAGCCAAGAUUAAGAAAGAAGAUAUGAAUGUGCUGUAAAAGAUUCUGACAUUGAGACAAGGCACGAAAUGCUUGUUCACAUUGGUGAGAAAGGGUUAGAAACUCUUGCCAAAAAAGGAUUUAUACCCAGCUUCGCAGGUAUGUCCCUCAAGACCUGUGUUCAUUGCUUAACUGAAAAGGCACACGAAGUAGCUUUUAAAAUCUUUUCUCCAUCUAAAAAGUCACAAAUACUUAAUUAAAUUCACAUUGAUGUUUGUAUGAUGCAAAGUAAAUCAAUAGGAGGUGCACUUUAUUUUGUGACUUUUAUUGAUAGAAAAGUGUAGGCCUUUACUUUGAAAUUUAAAGACCAAGUGCUUGAUACGUUUAAGUUUUUCCAUGCUUCUGUUGAGAGAGGGACAUGAAGAAAAUUAAAAUGUGUCAGGACAAAUAAUGGUGGUGGAUACAAAGGACCAUUUGAGCAAUAUUCCAGAUCCCAUGGAAUAAGACUUGAGAAUACUGUACCAAAAAGUUGCAGAAAAGAUGAAUAGAACGAUUGAAGAGAGGGUCAAACGUAUGCUUUAUGAUGCAAAGCUUUCUAUAUCUUUCUGGGUGGAGACUAUGCGUACUGUAGUUAACUUGAUUAACAUUUCUCCUUCAACUCCAUUAGAUGGCGAUGUACCUAAAAGAGUCUAGACAGGGAAAGAUGUUUCUUAUAAACACUUAAGAGUGUUUGGUUGCAGAGCAUAUGUUCACCCUCUACAAUCUUACUGGUCUUGAUUUUUAUUUUAUCCUCUCGUUGGCAAUCAUUUGAGAUACCCACUUGUUAGAGAGACGAAUAUUAGGCUAUUACUGUAGGCCAAGAAUAUUGAGAUUCUCGAAGUUGUUAGUCUCCAAUAUUAUCUAGAGAAGAAUUUGUGUUGUAAUCCCAUUAAUAUAGUGGAAGAUUAUAUCAGACUACAGCCCCGUAGUUUUUCUCGCCUUGGGUUUUCCACGUAAAAAUUUGUCUCUUGUGGUUGAUUUAUUGUUUUGGAUUUUGUUGGUUUAUUUUUCUGCCUAUUUAUUUGUGGUCCGCAUCCUAUUUUAAUAACACAAAGAGGAAAAGAAUUUUAUUUUCGCUUAAUUUGCGAUUACUUGUGUGAGUCCCUUUCCCAACAAAUUGUUUAAGAAUUGAACUACUCAGUUCAGUUUCUGAUUGAGGUAGGACGGUUGAGUAGGAUAAGCAGGGUCCUUUCUGGAGGUCAUAACUUGGGAUACAAUAGUCCUUUUUUUGUGUAUAAUAUAUCAUUUCGAAACUUGUGACAAGAUGAUGUUGAACCAGUAAUUCCAUUUCUUUCCUAGUCUUUUUUCAAUUUUAAAAUAUUUUCCUAUUUUUUCUAUUACUUUCAAGAUUUUUAUCUUUUUUCAAAUAUCAUAUUUAGGUACUUUUUGUUUUGGUUUCCUUAUUUAGUUAAGAGAAUUUUAUUAUAAAAUAAUAUUUCAAAUUUGCCAAUUUCGAUAAAUUAGCAAUAUUUAGGAUUAUUAUAAAAGGAUCCAAAAAAACUGAUUUUCUUCAUUCCGACUUUUCCUAAUAAAAUUUUGUUAUUAAAAAAUCUAGUUUCUCUUAUCUUUCAAUCUUUAUAUUUUUACAUCGUCAGAGGCCUAUUAAACAAAGACUUUCCUUUAGAGGUAACUCCAUUAUUUUAUGGUAAACUAUAAGCCUCACAAUAUACUUGCAAUUUCUCGAAUUCCAUUGUGUGUGCUAGUCAAUAUUCGACCAAUCACUUGCUAUCCGUACUAAACAAAAAUUGCAUUAAAUAGGGGAGCCCCAGGAACUUGGCAAUGCGCCCAUGUAUGUAGCCCUCGGUACAUCAAUAAAAGCACGAAUAAUUGCAGCCGUUAUCUUUGUGAUGAUUGUACGUUGCUGACAUUAAAUCGUGCUAAAAGUACUUCUAAGCACGUCAGUGUCCAUUACCCAUGAAUUGAGCUCAUUAUAUAUUAAUAUUAAUUCCUUUAUAUCCUUGUGGGAAUUGAGAACCCUCAUAUAUAUCGAAAUGAGCGACAUGGCAGCAGUGUCGUGAUUAAAUCCUGAAGAUCAAUUCGCAUUAUUUGUUUUCUUUUUUCCAUCAGGAAAUCUUCCUUGAGGAGCGGAAACUGGUCUAAAGGAUAGUACUUCGUGCACGCCUUGAUGAAUUUUGUAGUUGCUGGUGGAUGAACAGUGCUGUAAAUAGUAUCUGAUAAACAGUAUCUGUGAAUAGUGACGUAAAUAGUGUCAACAGCUACUACUUAUGGAGUUCUUUUGUAUGUUGAAAUUGAUGUUUCGGCAGGUUUUGAAAUUCAAAAAAACAAUAUUAACUCGUAUUUCCAACACCAAAAACUUGGCAAUGCACCCACGCAUGUAGCCCUCGGGACAUCAAUUAAAGCACAAAUAAUUGCAGCAUUCGUCUGUGCAAUCAGUGUACAUUGAUGACACUAACUCGUGCUAAAAGUACUUCUAAAUAUGUCUGUGGGCAGUGCCCAUGAAUUGGCUCGUUAUAUAUUAAUAUUGAUUCCUUUAUAUCCUUGUGAGAACAUGAGAACUAUCAUAUAUUAAAAUGAGCGAUGUGGCAACAUAGCUAACCCAACAAAAUAUGAUAUAAUUAUUUCCUCAAUUUUCUGUUAAAUAGUAAAAACGAACGAACAAUCAUUGAAAUUGAAAUUAAUUGAGGUAAUUACUAUGUUAUUGUGCUAUUCAAAAUAAAAAUGUCUUACAUACCUUAUUACCAUGAGGAUUUUAGAAUACGUCUCUUGCUGUAGUAAAACAAUGUCUAAAACAUAUAUUAUUGUAACAAUUAAACUUUCUAUUUUAUCAUUACACGACCAUUUUCAGAAUACAUAAAAAUUGCUUUCUAUCAUUGAGCUCACAUGGCUUGCUGUGCUAUGGCUGAUUAACUUGUAAGCUAACUCGCAAAUGAUAUUUUGCCACAUGGAAGCAACCCCCCAACCCCCUCUCAUUCUUGCCAUAUAUCAAGCAAGUAGGUCUAUAAUACGUAAUGGUAUGGGGUCGGGGGUGGGGAAGCUCUUUUCUUAAAAGUUUAUUCAUUUUUUAUUCUAAUCCAUUAUAAGCAACAAUUAUGACGGCGAUGUAAUUGAUUAAUUAAUAUGGAAUGCUUUUAGCAGAAAUGAUUAAAAUUUUAUUCAUUUUUCUUCUUCUUCGUCCUUUUUUUGCUUAUGCAGAUUCAAAUAACGAAAAAGUUUUAAAAAAUUAGAAAAUUAACAAUAAUAACAUGACAGUAAUAUAACAAUGCCACGUAUGUUUGUGAGAAUUUAUACUGGUGGUCUUACUCAGUUAAUAAGAUAUUUAACGAACUAAUAUAUAACUCUUUUAAUAAUUACAGCUUUUUAAUGAUUUGUUGUGUAUAUGCUACAUUCUUUGAUAUAGGAAUUUGAAAUUUAGCUCCGUUAACUAUGUGUGCUAUAUUUUGGCUAGCUGUUGCCAAAAAAUGUUAAUCUCUAGUAAUUUUUUGGCAUGAUGGACAAAAACAAAAUUAUGCAAAGGCUGCAAUUUGAAGCAACGAUCACAAAUAGUUCACAAAUGAAUAGAUUGAUCCACAUGAAUUGAGGAAACAAAAUGUCAAAACGAAGCAUAGGUUGCCAUUUCAAGCUACAAGGGCAAAUAGUUCAGAAAUGUGUUCCACGGGAAUUGCCUGAUCUUGUGCUUAAAGCAAACAUAAGGGCAUAAUUUUAUAUAGCAACCGACAAGCUGAAAAUAGAUAAAUACUUUUCCGUUUUUCUGUUAAUUUAAUAGAACUGCCUUUGAAAUCUCCUAUUAUCAUACAAAGUUACAAACCAUUUAUGCGCACUUGUCCUUUGUUUGCUUCUGUAGCCUUCUGUCAUCAAAUAUAUAUUAUCCAAGUCUCAAGUAAGGGCAUUUAAGUAAAUAAAGUUUGUAUUAGUUAAUUUUACAAAUUAAGUUUUCAAGAAAAUGGCAUAAUCAAUGUCUUUGCAUAUUCUUUUAGUACUAUUAUUCUUGAUUCUCUUCUUUAGUUCAUCUUUAGCAAUUCCACUGGCCACUUACAGUAUGAUCAGUUUAGGAGCCAAAUUUGAUGGCCGGACUGACUCAACGAAAGCCUUUCUAGCUGCAUGGGCUAAAGUUGUGUCUCAACCGCGGCCUCAACCAUUUACGUGCCACCUGGGAGGUACCUGUUGGGAAAAUACAGUUUUUUAAAUUUUUAUAAAACCUUUUAAGAUCGCUCUCAUACAAUAUAUAAUAAUUUGUAAUCGAGAAAUCGUACCUUAAAAAUCCGAUUUGGCUUUUUCCGCUGAAAUGAUUUAGGCUCCCAGAUCACAAUCCGUCACCAUCACGCUUGUUAGAACACGAACUGACACCAAUGAUCUUCCAGGUUAUGACUCAGGUUUGAUCUGCACUUGACGUGUGGGCGCCUUUAUCACUGCCAAAGCAACUAGCACGAGAAAAUUUUUCUCUCAACAAUAGAGAGAAAAAUCUUUUUCUCUGAUCUGUAUAAAAUGGCUGCCCCCUCUUUCUUUAGAGAAAAUAAGCUUUUUUAUAUCUCCCUUUAGUGAAAACCCUAAGCUCCAAAUAAUGAAAAUCAAAACUCACGUUACUUGCUUUUUCUAUAGGGGACCCACCUUGUAAAAUAACAUAAGGCCCCUUACACACAAGCUAAUUAAAUGGAGCCUCCCACUAAAUGAUAUAUUUAGGCUUUUGACCCAAAUAGCUAGUUAUCUUGCUUAUUAAUCCAGUAGUGGUGCAGUCAAUUAAAUGAGCUAACUCGGGGAUCAUUUGGGAAUAUACAAUAGUGGCUAUAACAAUUAGGCCUGUAAUUAAACUAGCCUAAUUAUUUAAUUCCAAAUCUACUCCACUAAAAGAUUGGAAUUGACCUCCAUAAUUGUAUGUUGGAAUAAUAAUUCGUCCCAAGCCACAUUGAUUUCUUUACUGCACAAUCCUUUGUACCACAUCAUUAAUUAAAUCAAUAUCUCAACUGUCCAAUUGAUUUAAUUACAUCUUAUUCCUUGCUGCUUACUGGUUUUCUCUAAUGAUCAUUUUCAACAUACUAAAUAUGUUGACACACUCUGGCCAGAUAAUUCUAUGAUCAAGUGCCGAAAACCAAUCAAGAGAUGUGUUGUACAAAUUCUAUAUUGUUAAUCUAUAACUCCAAUACUCAUAAAUGCUCCCACCAAGAUACCGGGUAAUCUAGACUACAAGUAUGUGUCAUGCCCAUUGGUAACUCAAAUGGAAUAACAAUUACAAUCAUGAAAUCAUAAUUAACUCAAGAUUAAGAUUACAGUAAAAUCAAUGCCUAUGAGAUUUAAUAAGUCUGACAGUUAAUUAAAUCUCAUAAGUGAUCCUGUUCAAUGUAGUCGUACUACAUCAAUAAAUUCAUACAUGAUUAAGACAAAUCAUUCAAUGAAUUUAUUACAAUCUAUACCUAAAUAAAGUGCCCAACUUUAUUUAUCAACUGCAAACUAAAUUUAUUUAAUCAUAAGAUAACUUGUAUUUAUAUCUUCUGUGAAUCCACAUGGUGAUCACAUAAAUACAUAUAAUAUGAUUAAAUGGACUUUAAUAAAAAUAUUAAUGCAAUCAAGAUAUUUGCAUAAAAUACCUCAUUAUUUUUAUUAAUCAGAAAAAAUGUUUAUUAUAAUUAAAUAAACACAUAUGCUUUUAAAGAGCAUAUUUUCCCAACAACAACGACUAUGACAAUAUCAUCAUCACCAUCAUCAUCGUUAUAUCUCAUGUCAAUAACGAGUCCCUUGAUAGUUUGAUCAAACUCAUAUGUCCUGUAUUUCAUAAUCCAUGUAAUCAUUCAAUGUCGAGUGCCCAAGUCUUCAUUUGUGAAAUGGGUGUAUUUUGUCAUUAUUGGUAAUUGAAUUAAAGCUCUCUAGUUUCUACAACAACUUACCUUUACCAGAUUAUUAAGAUUAAACUUUUUUCUUCUGUGUAACAAAAUUUUCCCAUUUGAUUCAAGCAAACAUCCCAUGAAAUACUUUGAAUAGAUAGAAGAAAUAGCUCUUUUUAGACUCAAAGCUCUAAUUUUUGGUUAACAAUCAACAUCCUCAAUCUUGUGUUUCAAGGCCAAUGCAGGAACAAUGACAUUACCAUACAUAUUGAGGGGACUCUAGUGACUCCAUCCGAUUAUAAUGUCAUUGGAGAUGGGGGAAACUGGAUUUUAUUUGAGCAUGUUAAUGGCGUUUAUAUUUAUGGUGGCAUCCUUGAUGGCCAAGGUGCUGGCUUGUGGGCUUGUAAACGAUCAGGCAAUAAUAAUUGCCCUAGCGGUGCCACGGUAAGUUGGAAGAUCGUUACUUUUAAUUAUAGCCAUAAAUUAAGUAGCUUUUGGUUUCGUUAUUCUCCUCAGAUUAAAAUAAUUGAUAACGUUCCUUCUUGUGUAAAUGAGCAGACACUGGGCUUUAGCAACUCAAACAACAUUCUGAUUAACGGACUAACAUCCCAAAAUAGCCAGAUGUUUCAUGUUGUCAUCAAUGGAUGUCACAAUGUGAAAGUACAAGGGGUGAGAGUCUCGGCCUCAGGAAACAGCCCUAACACCGAUGGCAUUCAUGUUCAAUCAUCAAGUGAUGUCACAAUUUUGAACGCUAGAAUUGGGACUGAAGACGAUUGUGUAUCAGUUGGCCCUGGCACCACCAAUUUAUGGAUUGAAAACGUUGCUUGUGGUCCUGGCCAUGGCAUCAGGUAGAAAAUAAAGAACAUGCAUGAUGAUUUAUUUAUAUCAUUUUAUUUUUUUUAUAUGUCAUAAUAUUUAGUGCUACUAUUGUGAAUUUGUUGCAGCAUUGGUAGCUUAGGCAAAGAGCUACAUGAGGCUGGAGUGCAAAAUGUGACAGUAAAAACAGUGACAUUUUUACAGGAACUGAAAAUGGAUUGAGGAUUAAGUCCUGGGGAAGACCAAGCACUGGAUUUGCUCAGAACAUUCUUUUCCAACAUGCUCUUAUGAAGAAAGUCCUAAUCCCAUCGUAAUUGAUCAAAAUUACUGCCCCGACAACAAGAAUUGCCCUGGAAAGGUUUUUAUUUAUCACAAGUUUGUAUGUGAGAAUGUUAGACGUUGAUGUGAAUAAAAUUAAACUUAAUAAUUAUAUUUUCUAUAUUCAACAGCCAUCAGGAGUUAAAAUCAGUGAUAUGACAUACCAAGAUAUUCAUGGAUCAUCUGCAACAGAAGUUGUUGUAAAGUUUGAUUGUAGUCCAAUGUAUCCAUGCUUGAGUGUCUUAAUGUCCAACCUUUUUAUCUUCUUUGGUUGCCCCUUUUAUAGCCUUCAUGAGAAUUCGACCCCCAUGGCUCACGUUCGCCACUUCACUCUAGUCUCCGGUAGUUGAUGCUUGAACGUUGUGGUUGUGGCUGAGUGAAUUUCGUGUUUGGAUUCUCAGAGAGUAGCACACGUUCUAUCAACUGCCGUAGACUGGGCCUGCCAACCUUGGCCCCAACAGAAAAUGUCCUUGGUGAUUAACAGAGAACCUGCUCAUACCAUGGCCCCAGCAAAAGGUCUCCUCGUCGACUAGCAGAAGACUCCUAUUCCUAGACGACACAUUGCUCCUCACCUACGAAAAGGAUAAAUUCUCGUUUGAACAUAGUUUUUUUUUUUUAGAAGGGAAAAAACUUCAUUAAUAAGAAGAAAUUAAACACAGAAUUUGUGCUGGGAUAUUUCCCAGCCAUACAACAGACUCUGCACCUUUUAAGGCUAUCUUAGCCAAGGUAUGGGCAUUAACAUUACUAGACCUAGGGGUGUGUUGAAAUUUAACUUCCUGGAAGUCUUUUUUUCUGCUUUUGAUAUCCGAAAUCAUCCAAAAAAUCUCAGUUUUGCUACCCUUUCUGUUGUUUGCCAAGUCAACAGCCACUUGACAAUCUGAUUCAAAAAUAACAGAGGUUAUGCCUGCACUUCUUCCCACUAUUGAAACUAUUAAAAUUAACAUUUCCUAUUAAAAUCAAAUUUGAAAUCGGGAGACGGCCUUUCACCCACCCACUCUGUUUGGGCGAUAGCCCAUUGCCCGGAUUGAGAGAUGGCUAUCGUCCAACCAUCGCUCAAAAAAAAUAAAAAAUUAAUGAAUUCGAUUUAAUGGAGUUUAUGGUAAAAAUUAGUUUUCAUCUUAUUGUCUAGUCUAAUAUAUAAUUUUACUUUUGUAUGUUAAUUUUUUUUUAAUCGUAAAGUUAAAUGAUUAAAUAAUAAGUAACGUCGUGGUGAAUAUGAAAAGUAUUAAAGAUCAAAAGAAAUUCUCCUUUCCAAUCAAUAUCCUUUUUCUUUUAUCUUAGUAAUAUAUCAUUCAUUCAUCAUAUACAUGGGUAUGAUCGAAUAAGAAAUUAAUAUGAAACAACUGUCCAAAAUGAUAGGUAGCAUAUAAUUUAAACUGCAAGAUAUUUGAGAAGUGUAGUAAAUAUCUAAGAAUUAUGUAUCCUUCAGUGGCACAUAAUUUAAUUACUUAUUUAAGAAUUUAGAAGUAAUGUACGUUUGGUAAAAUAGUAUUUAAAAAAUAAGCACAAUUAAAAUCAGCGUACUGGAUUUAAAUUUCAUGCAAACAGAGAAAUCUGAGAUCUAUGUAAGAAUUUUUUUUUUAACUAAAGUUACUAAUUAACUAAACCAACAAUUGUUUUAUUUUUAAUACAUAGUUUAAUAAUUAUUAAAGUAAAUAAUAUGUUUUCUUAAUCUAAUUUCUCCACCAUUUCUCAUUUUCUCCGGACUCUUCAAUUCGCCCUCUUUUGCUUCAGUGUGAAAAAAUGCGGUCAUACUUUAGUCAAGAUUAGGUGGCAAGCUAGCAGUUAUCAAGCACAAGUAAAACAACGUACUAUACUAGACCAUGAAAAAUGAAACAGAAACAACAACAACAACAAUAAUAAUAAUAAAGGAAUAAAAUGAAACAAAAUAUUAAAUAUAACAACUACGUAAGCAUAAAGACCAACUCGAGCCACAAUAAAAUUUUUGUUUGAUCAUUACACGAUCAUUUUCAACAUACAUAAAAGCUUAGCCAUCCACUAAAAAUAUUUCGUUAUUAAAAAUACUACAAAAGUUUGAAUUUAUUUUAUUUAAUUCAUCUUGUUUUUAGAUUGUAUCCUAUUUUUAUCUAAUCCUUCAUACUUCAUAUACCUCAAAUGACACAUUAUAACAUAAAAUAAACUUUUUAUUGCAAAUCAAAGAAUAAAAUCAACGAUGAACAAGAAUAAAAACAAUUAGACCUAACUUCAUCUUCUUCUAAUUAUGAAGGAUUUGGUAAGAACGAAGGACAGCCCCAGAAAUUCCAGCAUCAAACAUUCAUCGAAGUGGGGCAUGUUCAUCAUAGCCACUGCUGCUGCUGCUGCCCGUCAUUGCCUACUCUGUCGGCCUUAUGGACAGUUGCGACCUCCCAGAGACUCCUGAAUGGCCGGCCUUCAAAGUCCAAGGCAAGUUUUGUCAAUAAUCAAAGGUGGUUGAAGGAUUUGGUGGGAAACGAUAUUGGCAAAUGAAGGAUUUCACACAAAUUGUAUAUUUAUUUCAUGAAUACUAAAAAUUUAGAGAGAUAUGACAAGGAAGAAUAUGGCGAGAUGUUUUACUUAUUUUUGUUUUUAAUUUAAUUAAGUUAAAAAUAGUAAAGUAGUCAUUUUGUUUAGAUCCUUAUAAGUACUCUAGCAAAGUUAAUAUUUUGGUGGACGGUUGAUAUAAAUUGAAAACAAUGAGUGUAAAAUCGAACAAAUUCAAACUUUUUGAGUAUUUUUUAUAACAAAAUAUUGUUUGGAUGGAUGAUUGAUAAUUUUCCAAAAAAGAAUAUAUGUGUUGUGUCCUAAAAUAAGUUUAUAUGACUAUUUCUUAAAAUUUGAGGAAGUGUAUGCUAAAUCUUUUAAUUUUGCCAGACCACGAAAUGUCACAGUUCUUUUCCAUAAUAAACAAAAUAUUUAUUUUAAAAAAUAUCAAUUAAAUAUAUACACGUACUAUAUGAGACACAAACCUAAGACCUAGGUCUUGGUAAGGUUGCCUACUAACCAGAGGAGCCAGACCUUAGUGUGUAAUAAUGAAAACAUGUUAAUUGAAUCUGUCACACACACACACACACAUUCUUGUUAAAAAAGCAACAAAAUAACAACACAAUAAAAUUAUACCCAUCAUGCCAUCCAGGGUUGGCUUUAAGGGAUUCGGGGCCUUAGCGAAUUUCGCUUUAGGUCUUUGUACAUUGCACAACAUCAACUUUUGAAGGAUAUAUAAAAUAACUUAAAAUUUAAAUUCUUUUGGAUUACACAAGCCGUAUAUCAAUAUAAAAUUAAAAAUAAAUUAAAUUUGUAAAAAAAAAGAAUAAUAAUAAUUUAAAAUAAAUAAUGAAUAAUAGCACAUAGAAGUUGUCUAGUGGAGAUGAAUAUGAUGAUUAAUUGAUAUCAAUAUAUUUCUUAGAGAAUAAUUUUCUUUGCAGAGAAGAGAGAAAGAAAUAUUUUAGUUGAGAUUAUUGUUGAUUCAAUGUCUAUUAGUUUUGAGAUUCUUAAUAGAGUUUGAAGGAAUACUAAAAGUCAGUUCUUAUGCUAGUAAUUUUAAUAGAGUAUUCUUUUUGAAAAUGAAAGUAUUUAUUUAAUUUUUUCCUUGGAAACAUUAAUAAAUAAAGAAUUAACUAUAAAACUAUUAAUCCUACCAUAUGUGAAGAUUAUCAAAUAUAGAUUUUUUAUAAAAAAAUAAAUCUUAUUUUUAAGGUGAAGAUUAUGAAAUAUACAAUUUUUAUUGAGAAAACAAAUCUUAUUUUUGGAUAAUUAUAAAUGGGUGUAAUAAUAGGGACAUAUCUAAAAGUUAGGCUUUCUAAUAUAAAUAACUUAAAUAAAAUCUUUGAAAUCUUAGAAGAAUAAUUAUUUAUUAGCAUAUUAAUUAAACAAAUGUCAAAUAUUGGGCCUCUCUAAAAUUUGGGGCCUUAGGAGACCACCUAGUUUGCUUAGUACUAAAGCCGUCUCCAAUGCAUGCCCUAAAAGAGUCAAGAGUACAAACAAAACCAAUAAAACCAACAAAACUUGAUGAUGAAAUUAAUAAUUUUCCACAACUUAUGAUAGGAAACUUAGAGCAGAUGUUCAUAUAUAUUUAAAUUCAAUCAUAUAAACUGAUAUGAGAUAUAAACAGUGAAAUUAAAAAAAAAAUAGAAAUUGGAAAUUAAUAACACGCAGUAAGAUAACAAUGUCACAUAUGUUUGUGAGAAUUUAUAAUUUAUGUGCUGCAUACAUGCCUCUACUGAUAAACACAAAUUCUUGAUGAUUUGUUGUGUCUAUGCCAUUUAUAUUCUUUUAAAUAAGAAUUUGUUAUGAAUUUACAUGCUCAUUUGCAUAUUUAUAUAAAUGAUUUAUAACGAAAGAAAAAAGCAUGCAACAACGAAACGAGAUAAGAAUAUGGUAAAUAGCCGAGAGAAGCUUUAGGCUUCUUAUUUUUCAUUCCUUUUUCUUUCUUGAGUAUUACACACAUAUACACAAUUUGUGGGGGUGUUAUAGUAAUUUCAUAAAAUGGCAUAAUGGUGAAUCCACUAUUCACAAUACCCCCCUUGGAUUCACCAUUUAUUUUACAUAUAAUGUAAAGGUAAUAUUAAAUGUGCUUAAUACUGUCUUGUUAAAACCUUGCCAAUAAAAUUUAGUGGACCAAAAUCUAGUCAAAGAAAAAAGAGUACAGUGCACAUCUAUCUAAUACAGCUGCAGAAACUCUUAUCGUCAAAAAUAUGCUCCUUGAUAAAAUAUCUUCUCAAUUAUUCAUGUGGAAAAUCUUAUAUCAGUAAGUGUUUUCAACUGAUUUUGGGGUAGGAGAAGCCAAACCAAUCUAGAACAAUAAAUUUAUAUUUUUGGGGAGAUGGGGUACCUCACUAGUUUAUUGUGUGCGGUACGGUGUAUCUGAAAUUCGUGGGAGGUGAGAAGGGGAGAGAGAGUGGUAACAAUGGUGGAAGGUCAGAAACAAGAGAGGUGUCCUUCAAAAUGAGCUUCACGCCUGCAAAAUAGUGUAAUAGAGGUUAGAGGUGAAGCCGGGGUACCCCGGCGUUCACGCUUCGACGCUCAAGUUAGCAAACUCAAGCUUUUAUGGCAAAGAGAGCUAGUUAGCCCUCUGUAAAUUAGGGUUUAAGGGUGAAGAAAACCUCUUUUUUUGGAGUGUGAUUGUUUUUGGGUGAAUGAGAGCCUCAUGGAGAAUGAAACCUAGGCACCUUUAUAUAUGGAGUACCUCAGCUGCCACGUGGCGUACCCUUUUUGGCUAACGUCCUUUUACCUUUUUAUGAUUUUUGGGCCGUUAUGUGCAUGUUCGCGGCGUAUCUCAUCAUUUGGAAACGUGGCGCGCGCUGGAGAGUGGUCCAGGGUACCUCUGCAAUAACUGUCGGGUAGGCGGCUGAGAACCACUGUCAUUGGGACAAUGUGCUUCACUUUUGGCAGAGGUAGCAGGCGGCUGUCCCCCCCUUUUGGUACGACGUUCUUGAUUCCUAAUUCUGACAAAAUCGAAUAAUAUCUUUUAAGAGGUGGAGACGUUUCUCAUGACGGAUAUUUUCGGAGGAUUCUCUUGCAUCUGAUCUGCCAGGUACCUCGAGCUACGUGGGGUACCUCAAUUUAUGUGGGGUACCCCUAAUUGUGCGGGGUACCUCGUAUCAUGUGGGGUACCUCUAUUUGUAUGGGGUACCUCUAAUUGUGCGGGGUACCUCUAAUCAAGCAGGGUACUUCUAAUUACGUCGGGUACUUCUAAUUACGUCGGGUACCUCUAAUUGCGCGGGGUACCUCUAAUAAAGCCGGGGACCUCUAAUUACGUCGGGUACCUCUAAUCAUGCGGGGUACCUCUAAUCACGCGGGGUACCUCUAAUCACGCGGGGUACCUCUAAUCAAGCCGGGUACCUCUAAUUACGUCGGGUACCUCUAAUUGUACAGGGUACCUCUAAUCAAGCCGGGUACCUCUAAUCAUGCGGGGUACCUCUAAUUAGGCUGGGUACCUCUAAUCAUGCUGGGUAUCUCAAGUUAUACGGGGUACCCGAGUCUAUGCGGGGUACCUCGAGUUACUAUGGCGUUAUGAGGGGUACCUUUGACCGUGCCGGGUACCUCUAAUCAUGCCGGGUACCUUAAAUCAUGGCAGGUACCUCUAAUCUUGCGAGGUACCUCUAAUUAUGACGGGUACCUCGGAUUGCACUGAAGUUAUUCCAUUCGUUGACACGUGGCGUUCUGCUAUCUUUCUUAUUUUUCCCCCAAACAACAUCCCCCUAGUUUCUUUUGGCGAGAAGUAUUGGAGGCAAAAGAAACUUACAUAAAAAGUAGGAGCGACACGUGGCGAUAUGAAGUUUAGCUCGAUGGACAGCUGAAUAGAGGACGCCUCUAGGGGUACCCUCACGAAAUGAAGAUCUCUGGAGUGAACAAGACUUUGAGGAGACACUUUGAUGAAGUUUCAGAGGAGAAGGCCCAUAUGGUGGAAGACCCUGAGGAGAUUCAAGUUAAGCUUGAAGACUUGGUACCUCGACAAAAGAACAUAGUUGACAAUGCUUUUGAGCACAUCAUAACCGAGGAAUGGAGUGCUGAUAUGGGGCUAGUGGUGCCAAGAGUAGAGAACUAGGUAGAUAAGCCGGCUAUCUUGAAGGCAAUUGAGAAUAGCAAGGCUCCCCACACAUCUUGGUCUGAAAGCCCAUGGAGAUCAAUUGGGGUACCUCAGAUGAAGUCGCCAUAAGGUACCCCUGAUACCGACGCUUGUGUUUAUGCUAUUUCUAGCAUUUUUGUUGAUCCCCUUAUCCUAAAUGAUGAAGGUGAAGAUAACCAUCCUACUAUGUAACCUUGUUCGGCAUUACCGACAAGGCGUAUGGGGUACCUCAGGUACCCUUAAGCUUGGAUAUCCCCUGAGCUAUCUGUUACUUCAUGGCAGGAUAACCCAAUUUUAUCAAACAUAUGGCGAUUCCUUCAAAUAUGCUUGCUGCUUAUCUCAGGCUUUCUUAGAGUUCCUCUUGGUGUACACGAGGAAUGAUUUUCUGUCAUAGGGUACCCUGAGUACUAUGGGUACCCUUAAUCUUGUUUCAUCAGUGUAUCGCGGUUUACUUAGACAUGCUUGUUGCGGUUAAUUCAUGGCGGAACAACCCAAUUUCAUCAAACAUAUGGUGAUUCCUCCGGAUAUGCUUGUUGCUUAUCUCAAGCUCUCUUAGUGUAUUUGAGGAGUGACUUUCUGGCAUGGGGUACCUCGGAGGUACCCUUAAUUAGUGUAUGGCGAUUUUUAGAAAAAUGCUUGCCGCAAAUCUUCACAAAACUUGUGGCGAUUCCUUUUGAGAGAUGAUGGAAAACCUCCUGAUCCACCAUUCACUCUACAUCAAAUAUGCAAGACAAAUAGUAAUAAAGGUGGACUGCUGGCCUACCUUUAUGCAAGAUGGUCAAAAAUCUCAUGAUCCGCCAUUUGCGUAGAAUCAAAUAGACAACAUAGAUUGAGAUAAAGGUGGCUGCUCGCCUACCCUUAUGCGAUAUGGUCGAAAAGCUCAUGAUCCACCAUUCGCUAGAAUCAAAUAGACAACAUAAAUUGAGAUGAAGGUAGCUGCUCGCCUACCCUUAUGCGAGAUGGUCGAAACCUCAUGAUCCACCAUUCGCAUGGAAUAAAAUAGACAACAUAAAUAAAGAUGAAGGUGGCUGCUCGCCUACCCUUAUGCGAAAUGAUUGAACCUCAUGAUCGACCAUUCGCUCAUAAUCAAAUAUGGCGAACAAAUAAUGAUAAAGGCGGCUCUGAUGUUGAGUAGAUUAUCAUAAUUGGAGAUAGGUCAGGUACCUCGGGUACCCUGGAGUAAGGUGAUCUCUGGAUACCCUCUUGCAUCAUAAUAAACAAUACUUUUUCUAGUAGUAUGACUUUUCUUUGUUGGAUUGGUGGCCCAAAUCGAGACUGAAACCGAGUCUUCAACCGGGGUACCCCGUUUUUCAUCUUUGGGUAUUCGAGGAUCCAAAGGUGCCUCCAAUUCACAUUUGGGCUUAAUUUGUUCCCCGUGGGGUACCCCCGCAUAACUCUAGAGUAACUAGUUAUGGGGUACCCUACCACCGAGGCCUCGGUGGUGGCUCUUGCUGCUCUGGUGGUGGCGAUCUUGGAGGUUGGGGUACCCGUGAGAUACCCUAAGUGUUAAACACUCGUCCCCGCGGGGCAACCCUUGGAGGGCUCUGCAUUUGGGGUACCCUUGGUAUUGGGGCUUCCGGCCUCUUUGGCUUAUUCUUAUUCUUUGUGACCUCAACCUUACCUUUUUGGCGCUUCAAAUGACAUUUCUCAUCCAUCUCCACUUGCUGCAACGCCUGGGAACGGGCUUAAUCUAGUCCUGUGGGGUACCCCGUAUAACUCUAGAGUAACUAGCUAUGGGGUACCCUACCACCGAGGCCUCGGUGGUGGCUCUUGCUGCUCUGGUGGUGGCGAUCUUGGAGGUUGGGGUACCCGUGAGAUACUCUGAGUGUUAAACACUCGUCCCCGCGGGGCAACCCGUGGAGGGCUCCGCAUUUGGGGUACCCUCGGUAUACCCGAUGAUGUCGCCGCCAUUUGAGAAGUCCUUUUGGCGUUUAACUUCUCACGGAGAUCUUCGUGGGUACUCUUUGCACGCCUCGUACCCUGGCUGCUGCGGGAAUUGUAAGAGGCGGUGGAACGCUCGUCGCGGGAGCCCACGGUUUGAAAAUUAGAACGGGUACCCGAUGGCCUAUGUUUUGGUUUGCUGGCCUCUCCUUCUUGCAGGAUCGCUACCUUCAUUGCUGCUGUCAUCUCUCAUCCUUGUAGGAUCCCUCAUUAAACCUUCGGGAGGUACGUCGGGUGCCAUGUAUUAGAGUAUACACAACAACUAGUUUGGUAACCGCGGUGGAGGCUUUUUGUGCGAGUCCCUACAGACGGAGCCAAUUGUUUUCAACUGAUUUUGGGGUAGGAAAAGCCAAACCAAUCUAGAACAAUAAAUUUAUAUUUUUGGGGAGAUGGGGUACCUCACUAGUUUAUUAUGUGCGGUGCGGUGCAUCUGAAAUUCGUGGGAGGUGAGAAGGGGAGAGAGAGUGGUAACAAUGGUGGAAGGUCAGAAACAAGAGAGGUGUCCUUCAAAAUGAGCUUCACGCCUGCAAAACAGUGAAAUAGAGGUUAGAGGUGAAGCCGGGGUACCCCGGCAUUCACACUCCGACGCUCAAGUUAGCAAACUCAAGCUUUUAUGGCAAAGAGAGCUAGCUAGCCCUCUGUAAAUUAGGAUUUAAGGUUGAAGAAAACCUAUUUUUUGGAGUGUGAGUGUUCAUGGUGAGUGAGAACAUGAUGGAGAAUGAAACCUAGGCACCUUUAUAAAUGGAGUACCUCAGCUGCCACAUGGCGUACCCUUUUUGGCUAACGUCCUUUUACCUUUUUAUGAUUUUUGGGCGCCGUUAUGUGCAUAUUCGCGGCGUAUCUCAUCUUUUGGAAACGUGGCGCGCGCUGGAGAGUGGUCCNNNNNNNNNNNNNNNNNNNNNNNNNNNNNNNNNNNNNNNNNNNNNNNNNNNNNNNNNNNNNNNNNNNNNNNNNNNNNNNNNNNNNNNNNNNNNNNNNNNNNNNNNNNNNNNNNNNNNNNNNNNNNNNNNNNNNNNNNNNNNNNNNNNNNNNNNNNNNNNNNNNNNNNNNNNNNNNNNNNNNNNNNNNNNNNNNNNNNNNNNNNNNNNNNNNNNNNNNNNNNNNNNNNNNNNNNNNNNNNNNNNNNNNNNNNNNNNNNNNNNNNNNNNNNNNNNNNNNNNNNNNNNNNNNNNNNNNNNNNNNNNNNNNNNNNNNNNNNNNNNNNNNNNNNNNNNNNNNNNNNNNNNNNNNNNNNNNNNNNNNNNNNNNNNNNNNNNNNNNNNNNNNNNNNNNNNNNNNNNNNNNNNNNNNNNGGGUACCUCUAAUCAAGCCGGGUACCUCUAAUUACGCCGGGUACCUCUAAUUGCACAGGGUACCUCUAAUCAAGCCGGGUACCUCUAAUCAUGCGGGGUACCUCUAAUCAUGCGGGGUACCUCUAAUUAGGCUGGGUACCUCUAAUCAUGCUGGGUAUCUCGAGUUAUACGGGGUACCCGAGUCUAUGCGGGGUACCUCGAGUUACUAUGGCGUUAUGCGGGGUACCUCUGACCGUGCCGGGUACCUCUAAUCAUGCCGGGUACCUUAAAUCAUGGCAGGUACCUCUAAUCUUGUGGGGUACCUCUAAUUAUGACGGGUACCUCAGAUUGCACUGAAGUUAUUCCAUUCAUUGACACGUGGUGUUCUGCUAUCUUUCUUAUUUUCCCCCCCAACAGUAAGAACGAAUCUACUUGACAUCAAUUUUCUUGUUCUAUUUCCUUUAAUCAUUGGAGUCACAAAUGAUCAUAUCAAAUUAUCUGCUUAAAUGAAUCUCACCAAAGGCCAAAAUAUAUGAUUAGUCUAAAGUAAAAUCAACACAUGGUAUCAAUCGCACUUGCAUAUGGCGUACUCACCAUGUAGUUAUCAAAGAUUACCUGAUUAAGAAAAUCUGCGCUUUUUUAGACAACUUCGGUCUCUUACAAAUAUCGCGUUCAAAGACUGCAGAUCAGACAUUUAAAGCUUCUACAGAAAUAAUGGAUGAAUCCCUAGUUUGACAGCUUAAAACAAUUUGUGUAUUUUGCGAGAAUAUUUUUGAAAAUAUUUCAGAUUUUGUGAAUGCUACAAAAGAUCUGGGAAAGGUAUUAGGCAAACGAAAAAUAUGUUCAAUAUUUGGGAAUAGUGAUGUUGGGUUUAUGGGGAGUAUUGCAGAAAUUAUUCCCACAACUGGAUAUGCGACUAUCUAUAAUACAUAUGAAUGACUUCUUGAUUUGAGCAACUGUGUUGAUGCUUUUAUUGUUCUACCUCCUGGAUUUAAAACCCUGGAAGAAAUGUUUACUAUUGCCACAAGUCACAACGAAACAGAUAUCAUAAAGCUUUUGGUUUUCUCAACGUAAAUAAUUGUAGUGUUUUAAUCUGCUAUAUAACAUGCAAGACAAAUAAAACACGUCCCAGGACCUUUGAUAAAGAACUAUACAAGAUGCACAGAUUGAAGAAUGAAUCCAGCCAAGUGAAAACAAUGUACCCAAGAACUAGAAAGAACAGAGAAUCAAGAAACAAAAAAAUCACAGACAACACAAGAAUCAAUUACGUGGUUCAGUUGCACCAAAUUGGUACAACCUACAUCCACGGGAAAAGUUUUCUGCAGAGCUUUUAUUACUCAACAAUGGAGGAUCUUUCUUACAGAGAAUGGUUUACAAGAUUUCAGAGAACUCUUAACCCUUUCACUGAAAUCUCUCUCUCUCUGAUAUGAAUUCACAAGCUUAACCCAAAUCGUUUCAUCAGCCUGCUCUUAUAGCUAACAGAGCAACUAACCAGCUAAACCCAGAUCAAACUAAUUGCUUACACGUAGCGUAACAAACUUAACGAACUAAGAUGAGCUGCUUCACACAUCUGUCACGUGCAUCACUUAUAAGCUUCCUUUAAACGACAUGGUUGAACUGCCGUUUCAAUCUUUAAUCUUAAGUGACAACUGACAACACACGUGCUUUUCACGCGUCUUUUAAGUGCUCCUUCAAUUGCCAAAACGUCAUCGUUUGGUUCUGAUGAGUUUGAUUCACCAGCAAACCUCACAAAUAAUUUAUAUGGUAUGUUGUUGUUUUUCUUGGAUGGCGCUGUGAUGUAGGGCUUUCUCUCUUUAUCGGCACGAAAAAUCUUUAUUCAUGUCAAUAGCACCAACGAAUUGAUCGAUUUGUUUCAGGCAUAUGGGCUUGAAGUCCGCCCAAUCAAUCUGAACUUAGGCCAGAUGAUAAUAAGGAAAAAAAAGAUGAUGACGGUAAAAGGAGUGGCAAUAAAGACAAGAAAAAUGAUGGAGAUAAUAGUGAGAAGCGAAAAAUAUUAGACUUAAGUCUUCACUUAUGACUUUAAAUUCUUUUUCCUUUUUGUCUCAUCGAUGAUAUACUUAUGAAAUUUAAUAAAAUGAGCAUUAUUCAUAUUGAAAUGUUUUAGGUUUUUUUUUUUUUAAACAUAAGCUGAUUGAUGGAUAAUCAAUCCAUUUAUUUUGUGCUCGAUCUGUAUGUAGAGAUACUAAUUUAUUUUCAAGAAAAGCUUGCAUUUCAAAUUUUCUCUUUCAAUAUUCAGCAGUUUUAGGAGCUCUUCUGGAGUUCCAAUUAACUUCAUAUUACCAACAUAAACUGCUACAAUUACAAAUUCAGAUAAAAGCACAUAGAUAGAUAUGAUCAUUAACAUGUCAUUCGUUAGGAGUUUUAUACAAAGACCAUUACAAGGGAACAAAGGAUUGUAAGGUAAUGUUUACGGUUUUCAACCUCCCAAAGACUUUGUAAUUCAGAAACAAGUCUUCAAAAAGGAAUGGUAUUAGUAAUGUUUCCCAUCACUACAAGAAAAAGUGCCUACUAUGACAGGCAAAAACUGACAUCUAAAUGGUUUCACUCCUCUUUUCCCAGGGAGAAUGGAAGCAUACAACAUCCUGAUAAACAAUAGACAAACAAUGGUAAAGUCCAUUAAUUGGCCAAUAUGAGCUCUAAUCCCUUCCAAUAAUAUGAGCUCUAAUCCCUUCCAAUUGGAAAACACCAUCAUCCAGUAGAUAUGGAAUCCAUUCUUGGUCUAACAUCUUAGCUUCACACAUUUUUGGUCUGACAUCUUAGCUUCACACAUAGCUUAACAAUCAAGGAGUGCUCUUGAUAUUAACUUUUUUUAAGCUAAAAUUGCAUAUGAAGAAAUCAUCAGAGCGACAAAUAAUUUUGAUGCUAAGCAAUGCAUUGACUGUUGGAAAUUUUUCAAAAUAAAUGGUGUCUUAUGGUAAAGACAUGUCUAAUUAAUUGUGCCUUAUAGAAAAGAUACCUUUCACUGAAGACAUGUCUAAUUGAAUGAUGUCUUGUUGUAAGGACAUGUCCAUUUAAUUGUGUCUUAUGGAAAUGUAUCUUUUUACUAAAUGAUACAAUUUUUCAUGGUAACAUUUCACUUAGAGAUGCAUCAUUUCAUGGGACAUUUCAUUUGAAAUGGUGAUGGUUUAAUUUGAACCAUUGAUUAAAAUUAAAUAUAGAUCUAAUGGCCAUGAAUGAAGGGGUAUCAUGCAAGAUGACAACUCAAAUGAGGGGGCACAAGUAUAUCUAUAAAUAGGGGUCAUGUUUAAGCCAUUUAGACAUAAAAUUAAUGAUCCUACACUACUAUUUUCUUAGCCUUCCUUUCUAGAACGAAUUUCAACACAAAACAUCCAUUUCUUUUGUGCAUUAAAAAUCCAAUAUAUUGUUUUCUGUAGGAACAAUAUAUUGUUUCUUGGUAGACUUGCUUCAAUCAAGAGUAUUCUGGUUUUCUUUCAUCGAUGCACGAUACAAACAAACAAACAAGUGCUUUAUUGUAUCCUGGAGGCAUAUUUGCUUAACCCAUGUGCAUCACUCAAUUGGUGAGGGCAAAUAACGUCUUAAGGAAAGCGACAUUUGUAACGUGCCUUGAAGUACACAAAUUUUUCUACAGUUUACUUAUUACUAUUAUUUUUCUUCCUACAUACAGAUUUAGUUGUAAACACAUUACUUUACACAAUAAAGUUCCACCAUUAUUGUUGUAUUUCUCCACAUUUUCCAUUCCCUACAGACUUCAACGACUAACAAUCUUAAGACGUUAUUUCUGCAACAAUGGCACCAAAUUCAUCUCUUCGACAAUUCGCAAUAGAUUUUGUCAAAUUAGAGCGUUUCGAUGGUGGCAAUUUUAUUCGUUGGCAGAAAAAGUUGCAUUUCUUGUUGACAAGCCUCAAUGUGGUCUAUGUUCUCACAACACCAAAGCCUCAAGAACGUGACGAUGAGACAUUAGCGAAAACCAAAGUGCAGCAGAAGUGGGAGCAAGAUGACUAUGUGUGCAAGGGACAUAUUUGCAAUGCCAUGUUUGAUACUUUGUUUGAUCAAUAUCACAACAAACCUACAACAAAAGAAAUAUGGGACUCAUUAAAGACUAAGUACAUGAUGGAAGAUGCCACAAGUAAGAAAUUCUUGGCUUUUAAAUUUUUUAAUUAUAAAAUGGUUGAUAAUAGACUUGUGGUUGAACAAUAUAAUGAGAUUUUGUAUAUUCUUGAUCAAUUCAACCAACAUAACAUGAAUAUGGAUGAGUCUAUUAUUGCCUUUUCAAUUUUUGGUAAACUUCCUCUCUCUUGGAAAGACUAUAAGAAAAGUCUUAAAUAUAGCAAACAUGAAAUUAGUCUGGAUGGCUUAGGCCAAAGUCUUCGUAUUGAAAAGGAACUCAAGUUUAAUAAUCUUGAGGAUCAAGCUGCUAUGUCCUUUAAAAUUAAUGUCGUGGAGGAAAGGAAGAAGUUUAAGCAUUCUAAUCACCCUAAGAAUAACCAAAAGAGAAAGUUUGAUUCUAAAGAGAAUCAAAACAAGAAGAAGAAAAAAAAGGGUGCAUGCCACCACUGCGGAAAAUUUGGCCACUUCAAAAGAGAUUGUCAACUUUUAAAGAAAUAAAAGGAAGUUUCAAACACAAAUUUUGUGGCCAUGAUAUCUGAGAUCAAUGUUCUUGAAGAUGGUAAUGCAUGGUGGAUAGAUUCUGGUGCAACCAAGCAUGUAUACAAGGAUCGUAGCCUUUUCAAAUCUUAUAAAGCAAUGGAUGAUGGAAGUGUUCCUUACAUGGGAAAUUCCUCCAGUGCAGUAGUUAAAGGAAAAGGCAAUGUGCAACUAGAGUUUACUUUUGAAAAAACUUUAACUCUUACUGAUGUUUAUCAUGUUCCUGAAGUUAGGAAAAACCUUGUAUCUAGUAGCCUUCUUAAAGUUUGGCUUCAAACUUGUUUUUGAGUCAAACAAAUUUAUAUUCUCUAAGGGAGGUACCUUUAUUGGGAAAGGAUACAUGUAUGAAGGAAUGUUUAAACUCAAUAUCAAUAAUAUGAAUGUUUCUUCUGCUUAUAUGGUUGAUUCAUUAUCUUUGUGGCAUAAUCGUUUAGGACAUGUGAAUAUUAGAAUAUUGCAUGAUAUGGCUAAUUUAGAGUUAAUUCCUAAGCAUGAAAAUGAUAUGCAUGAAAAAUGUAAAGUAUGUGCACAGACUAAAAUCACAAGAUCUCCUUUUCCAAAAAUUGAAAAAAAAACAUCUUUUUUAUUGCAUUUAAUUCAUAGUGAUGUGCGUGAUAUGCAUAGUAAUCCUACUAAAGGUGGUAAAAAAUAUUUUGUAACAUUUAUUGAUGAUUUUUCAAAAUAUUGCUAUAUGUAUUUAUUACAUUCUGAAGAUCAAGUCUUAGAGAAAUUUAAAACUUAUAAAAAUGAAGUUGAGAAUUUUUGUGACACUAAAAUUAAAUGCCUUACAAGUGAUAAAGGAGGUGAAUAUGUUUUUUUUCUUAAUUUUGUGAAUAUGUUGGCAUUGUACAUAAAACUAGCACUGCAUAUACUCCACAACAAAAUAGCGUAGCUGAAAGGAAAAAUAGGACAUUAAUACAAAAUGGUUUAUGUUAUGCUUUUUAAUAAUGGGCUUAGUAAAGGUUUUUGGGGUAAAGCUAUUUUAAUUGCAUGUCAUAUCUUAAAUCGAGUGCCAAAUAAGAAAAAAAAGGUGACCCCAUAUGAAUUAUGGAAAAAGAGAAAGCCUAAUAUUUCUUAUCUAAGAGUUUGGGGUUGUCGAACCAUUGUAAGACUAGCUGAACCUAAGAUAAAGAAAUUAGGAGAAAGGGGCAUUGAAUGCAUAAGCUUAGUAAAGCUUAUAGGUUUCUUGUAACAGAACCUAAUAGCUUCGUUGAGAUCAAUACUAUAGUGGAAUCUAGAGAUGCAAUAUUCUAUGAAAAUAGAUUUUCUACUAAGUAUUGAUUCUCAAGAGAAUGAUAAACAAAUAGAAAUUGGUCAAAAGCGUGAUGCUAAUAAUGAGCAAAAUCAUUUGAGAAGAUGUAAAAGAAUAAGGACUAUAAAAUCCUUUAGACAAGAUUUUAUAGUCUAUUUAGUUGAAGGGACAAGAGACUCACAAUCAAAACAAACCAUGAUCACACCUACUAUAGAUUCUGAUCCCCUCACCUAUGAAGAGGCAAUGAAGUCUCAAGAUGCUGCUUUUUAAAAAGUGGCCAUUAAUGAUGAAAUGGACUCUAUUAUAGGUAAUAAGACUUGGAAAUUAGUUGAUUUACCACCUGGUUCUAAUCCUAUAGAUUGUAAAUGGAUUUUCAAAAAGAAGAAGAAAGUUUAUGGAACAAUUGAAAGAUUUAAAGCAAGACUAGUAGCGAAAGGCUUUACACAAAAAGAAGGCAUUGAUUAUUACUAUUAGAGUCUUGAUUGCUUUGGCUUCAAUUUAUCAUUUUGAAAUCCAUCAAAUGGAUGUAAAAGCAGCUUUCUUAAAUUAAGAAUUAGGUGAGAAAAUUUACAUGAAACAACCAGAAGGGUUUGUUAUGCCAGGACAACACUACUAGAAAAAUGGUGUUUACUGACAUUAGAAUAGUGUGUGUUUGAUACUUUGUUUGAUCAAUAUCACAACAAACCUACAACAAAAGAAAUAUGGGACUCAUUAAAGACUAAGUACAUGAUGGAAGAUGCCACAAGUAAGAAAUUCUUGGCUUUUAAAUUUUUUAAUUAUAAAAUGGUUGAUAAUAGACUUGUGGUUGAACAAUAUAAUGAGAUUUUGUAUAUUCUUGAUCAAUUCAACCAACAUAACAUGAAUAUGGAUGAGUCUAUUAUUGCCUUUUCAAUUUUUGGUAAACUUCCUCUCUCUUGGAAAGACUAUAAGAAAAGUCUUAAAUAUAGCAAACAUGAAAUUAGUCUGGAUGGCUUAGGCCAAAGUCUUCGUAUUGAAAAGGAACUCAAGUUUAAUAAUCUUGAGGAUCAAGCUGCUAUGUCCUUUAAAAUUAAUGUCGUGGAGGAAAGGAAGAAGUUUAAGCAUUCUAAUCACCCUAAGAAUAACCAAAAGAGAAAGUUUGAUUCUAAAGAGAAUCAAAACAAGAAGAAGAAAAAAAAGGGUGCAUGCCACCACUGCGGAAAAUUUGGCCACUUCAAAAGAGAUUGUCAACUUUUAAAGAAAUAAAAGGAAGUUUCAAACACAAAUUUUGUGGCCAUGAUAUCUGAGAUCAAUGUUCUUGAAGAUGGUAAUGCAUGGUGGAUAGAUUCUGGUGCAACCAAGCAUGUAUACAAGGAUCGUAGCCUUUUCAAAUCUUAUAAAGCAAUGGAUGAUGGAAGUGUUCCUUACAUGGGAAAUUCCUCCAGUGCAGUAGUUAAAGGAAAAGGCAAUGUGCAACUAGAGUUUACUUCUGGAAACACUUUAACUCUUACUGAUGUUUAUCAUGUUCCUGAAGUUAGGAAAAACCUUGUAUCUAGUAGCCUUCUUAAAGUUUGGCUUCAAACUUGUUUUUGAGUCAAACAAAUUUAUAUUCUCUAAGGGAGGUACCUUUAUUGGGAAAGGAUACAUGUAUGAAGGAAUGUUUAAACUCAAUAUCAAUAAUAGGAAUAUUUCUUCAGCUGAUAUGGUUGAUUUAUUAUCUUUGUGGCAUAAUCGUUUAUGACAUGUGAAAAUUAGAAGAUUGCAUGAUAUGACCAAUUUAGAGUUAAUUCCUAAGCAUGAAAAUGAUAUGCAUGAAAAAUGUAAAGUAUGUGCACAGACUAAAAUCACAAGAUCUCCUUUUCCAAAAAUUGAAAAAAAAACAUCUUUUUUAUUGCAUUUAAUUCAUAGUGAUGUGCGUGAUAUGCAUAGUAAUCCUACUAAAGGUGGUAAAAAAUAUUUUGUAACAUUUAUUGAUGAUUUUUCAAAAUAUUGCUAUAUGUAUUUAUUACAUUCUGAAGAUCAAGUCUUAGAGAAAUUUAAAACUUAUAAAAAUGAAGUUGAGAAUUUUUGUGACACUAAAAUUAAAUGCCUUACAAGUGAUAAAGGAGGUGAAUAUGUUUUUUUUCUUAAUUUUGUGAAUAUGUUGGCAUUGUACAUAAAACUAGCACUGCAUAUACUCCACAACAAAAUAGCGUAGCUGAAAGGAAAAAUAGGACAUUAAUACAAAAUGGUUUAUGUUAUGCUUUUUAAUAAUGGGCUUAGUAAAGGUUUUUGGGGUAAAGCUAUUUUAAUUGCAUGUCAUAUCUUAAAUCGAGUGCCAAAUAAGAAAAAAAAGGUGACCCCAUAUGAAUUAUGGAAAAAGAGAAAGCCUAAUAUUUCUUAUCUAAGAGUUUGGGGUUGUCGAACCAUUGUAAGACUAGCUGAACCUAAGAUAAAGAAAUUAGGAGAAAGGGGCAUUGAAUGCAUAAGCUUAGUAAAGCUUAUAGGUUUCUUGUAACAGAACCUAAUAGCUUCGUUGAGAUCAAUACUAUAGUGGAAUCUAGAGAUGCAAUAUUCUAUGAAAAUAGAUUUUCUACUAAGUAUUGAUUCUCAAGAGAAUGAUAAACAAAUAGAAAUUGGUCAAAAGCGUGAUGCUAAUAAUGAGCAAAAUCAUUUGAGAAGAUGUAAAAGAAUAAGGACUAUAAAAUCCUUUAGACAAGAUUUUAUAGUCUAUUUAGUUGAAGGGACAAGAGACUCACAAUCAAUGGCCGUACAGCAGCCCCAUAUGAAUUAUGGAAAAAGAGAAAGCCUAAUAUUUCUUAUCUAAGAGUUUGGGGUUGUCGAACCAUUGUAAGACUAGCUGAACCUAAGAUAAAGAAAUUAGGAGAAAGGGGCAUUGAAUGCAUAAGCUUAGUAAAGCUUAUAGGUUUCUUGUAACAGAACCUAAUAGCUUUGUUGAGAUCAAUACUAUAGUGGAAUCUAGAGAUGCAAUAUUCUAUGAAAAUAGAAGUGUCAACUCAUUCCAAAUUACUCUACUAGAAUAAUAAAAUAUUUCACCCAUUAUAUUGAUGGAGGUACUAAUCCAAAAUAUUCACAAUAAAUAUAGAGUUCAAGGCAAUUAAUAGAUGUACCUCUUAAAGCUCUGCAUAUUCUCUAUCUUUCUAAGGCAAUCUUUAAUUCAUAUAGUUCCACCCCCUUUGAAUUCACAAACCUAGACUUUACAAACAAAUGCCUUAUAUCAUUAAUCUUGAUACCGUUUUAACAAAAAUAUCACUAUAUUCAUAAAUAAAAAUCACAAGUUAACGCUUUAACCUCGUGUUGGGCUGUCUUAGUCUGCAAAUGGCAGAGGAAUCUACGAUAAUGUGUAUGUUUUCCUGAGAAGAAAAAGGAACAAAAAAUACUUUUGAUUAUUCCAGCAAACACCAUAGUCCAUAAUCACACCAAAAAAAAAAAAAUUUCUUUCGCCAUUUGCCUGCACUCUGCAGCAUCUUUAAAUAUCUUGUAUUCAUUUUAAGUAAUUAAAAUGGUGUAUUAAUGUUUGAAGGAUAGAAAGAAAGCAUACACUAGGCUAUCAACUUGCAUGGAAUUGGCCAAAUAUGGCAUCUGAACUCAAAGAAAAAAAAAAGAACAAAAUUAAAUAUCAUCACAACACACAAUGUGUCUGUCCAUUAAUUAAAAACCUAGUAAAAAAUUAACUCCAAGCAAAAAUAAAUAUUUUAUAUUAGGCUCUACUCAAGCUUCAUAGAAAACUAAUUGAAAGUACAAUUGCCAAAGUAAUAAAAAUAAAUACUCAUUUUCUAAUGACUACAAGCAAAAAUAAAUAUUUUGUAUUAGGCUGAUAAAUAACUGAAAUGAAAUAAUUUCAUAAUGAAACUUGGACCCAUUGAAGCAUCAUCUACAAAGUUCCUCACCUCUGAUGAGAGCAAAUGAAAAAGCACUUGUGCAAAAAGCAACUUUAAAGAGAAGAACUUUUAUAGGAAAAAGGAAAGGAAAGAGGGUUAAUAAUGGGACUGGAACUUGUAAGUUGAAGGGGUUUCUUGCAGCAAAGGCUUUUUAACAUCUAUAGACACUGUGGCUAUUUAUUGCAUGAAUAUGAAACGUCCAGGUGACUCAUCAAAAGAUAGAAACCCAAUUGCUUUAUAUAAUCACUAAGCUAUGGUCGGCUCCUUGGCUAUUUAGCUAAUUAAUAAUUUAUCUGUUUGAUUUUGCUUUCAUUUAAGUUUGACUUGUGUUUCAAUUUGUAUUCGGUAUAGUAAAAAAUUGUAUAAUGGGAUUAAAUUAAUACGAACCUAGCUAGUCAAAACUUAACGUACGUCAAAACUUGUGCAAAAAGCAAAUUCAAAUGCUGAUUGGGAAAAUAAAAAGCGAAAAAAAAAAUUCACAAUUCAUACCUGGCACCAGCAGUCUUGAUAGUAGCUGCAAGAGAGCCAGCCACAUGCAUGGAUACUUCCUUGCCUUUACUCUUCCUUUUAGCAGCAGUACUUCUUCUACCAUAAACAGAAGAAGGCUCCAUAGCUUCAUGCUUAUCACCGGUGCCUAAACUCCGUACACAACACACACGUUGGCACUCAGAACACAAAUAAUUUAACAUAAACCACAAAAUGAAUAAAAAGGAAAAAUACUCAUAAUGAGAAUCGUGACUUAAACUUGAUAUUAUCAUUGUCUUUGAACUCCAUCAUCAUUAAAUAAACUAUUGAGAAACCCUUCAAAUACCAUCUAUAGAAUCAAUAGUUCAAAGGGCAUACUCAUGCAUUCAAAGAAUACGAAUAAUUUCGACAAGUAUAGAACAAACCCAUCUAUAGAAUCAAUAGUUCAAGCUCAAAAUUGACAUCAAUUUCAAUUUCAGCAAAUCACAACCUCAUUCAAGUUCGCAAACCCUAGAACACCCAAAUCCAAACACACCCACAAAACUUUCUGAUUACAAAAUCACUAAAUUCUCUAACAAAAUAAAAUAUCUAAGAUAACCAAUACAACUCAAACAAGCUCAAUUCAUAAGCAAAUUACAAAAUGAAGAAUGAACCAACUGAUAACAAACAUCUCACAAGAAGUCAUCUUAGUUUCAAAAUCACUCAUAAUUUUAAAAAAAAAUUCUUGCCUGAUUAAUUCGAUCGAGAACCUCUUUUCUCUUUGCUGCUUCUUCUUUGCUUUCAUAAAGCCCAGCUUCAACCAAAAACAUCAACCCCAAAGGAAAUCAAAAUCAGGGUUUCAUAUAUAUAUAUAUAUAUAUAUACUGCUGUACCGUACAUCCGCCUUGGCCUCCUGAACAAAAAAAGCCCUAUUUUUUUUAAUCUGACUUUCGAACCCUAACUUUGGCCAAGUUCUUCACAACACUUUCUAGGCGUCUUUCUGGGGGUAUUUUAGCUCAAGGAUGGCGGCUUUGAAGGUUUACAGUAGCGGCUUGUGAGGUAAAUCGUUAUUAGAGAGAGAUGUAGAGAGAGAGAGAGAGGGGAAGAGAGAGAGAGAAGAGAGCUUCGGUUCAAAGAAGAAAAUGCAACUUGUGGUCUAGUGGUUUAACGUUUAAAAUUAGAAAGCUAAGGUUCAAAAGUCUGCGGUUCGACUCUAGUGGAGACAAAAUUAAAAUUUUAUUUUUUUAAUUACUGAUACCUUAAUGUCACAUAUCUCUGAUACUUAAUUUACAGACGCUAUAGUAUUAGAAAUUUGUGAUACUUAUCUGUUAAACAUGGAAAAUGCCCCAAUCUCAUGUAAUUACUGAUACUUGUUAAUAAAGUGUCACAAGACAAGUGUCAGUAAAAACCAUUUUCUAGUAGUGCAAGAACAUAAAGUUUGUAAACUAGUCAAGUCUUUAUAUGGUCUUAAAUAAGCUCCAAAGCAGUGGCACGAAAAGUUUGACAAAGUGAUUGUCUCAAAUGGAUUUAAUAUUCAUGAAUAUGAUAAAUGUGUCUAUAGCAUAUUCAAUGGAAAUAAAGGUGCGAUUAUUUGUUUAUAUAUAGAUGACAUUUUAAUUUUUGGUACUGAGAGUGAGAGCAUUGAACUCACUAAAUCAUUACUGUCAUCUAAUUUUGAUAUGAAAGACAUGGGACUUGCUGAUGUGAUUUUGGGGAUUAAAAUUAUAAAAAAUGAGAAUGGCCUAGUAUUGACCCAAUCAUAUUAUAUUGAGAAAAAUUUAAAGAAAUUUGAUUAUUAUAAUUGUAAGCUUGUGUCAACACCUUUUGAUUCAACAUAAGACUGUAUCCUAACACUGGCAGAUCAGUAUCCCAAUUAGAUUAUGCACGUGUUAUUAUGUGUCUUACGUAUGCGAUGACUUGUACUAGGCCUGAUAUUGCUUUCGUUGUUGGAAAGCUGGGUAGAGAUACUAAUAAUCCAAGCCAAGCACACUGGCAAGCAGUGUACAGAAUUCUAAAAUAUUUAAAAUAUACAAUGGAUUAUGGUAUAUACUAUAUUGGAUAUCCUUAAGUUUUAGAAGGAUUUUCGGAUGCUAGUUGGAUUGACCAUUACCAACAUGCAGUAACUGAUUACCUGAAUACUCUUUUCCAAAAUUCAGAUUUUGCAAAUUGUUGGUGAGAUGGUGGGUUGCCCCACUGUCAAUGUACCAGCCUUGAUAAGCCAUUUCUCUUUCAGAGGUUGUGAGAAAAGCUGCUCUUGGUGCUUGAGACUGAGCUGGAUUGUAGCCAAAGGUUGGAUAAAAGGGAACAAAAUCUCGGUUAAACCUGUUUCUGCACUCAGCUGCAGUAUGCCUUGGUUUAAAGCAGAUUUGGCAAGUGACAGUAGCGAGUCAAUCUAGUCUCAUCAAAACAGACUUGAUAAUAAUCUAAUUAGUAAAUAUUCUGACCGAAAAUUCGACAGAGUCUCCUCUAUAAAUAUAACACUCCCAAUCUGCAAAUAUAAAUAUAACACUCCCAAUAUAAUUCAAUAUACAACAAACUCCAGUGAUCAAUAUCCUCAACUAAAAUGCUGAGUUUCACUCAAAAUAUCUUCAGAAUCUCAAAAGAUAAUAUUAUAACUAAUAGUAAUAUCUCAAUUUAUUCUUAAUCCCAAAAAAAUAAUAUAACAAAAUUAUACAAUCCCAAAAGAACAAGAUAACCACCAAGAUGUCCUAACAAAUACAUCUAUAUCUUCUAACACAUGACGAGAUAACCAAAAUGUCCUGACAAAAACAUCUAUAUCUUCUAACACCAUCAUGUGGCCAAGACUCAAAAUAUAUUUACAGUCGCUGGGUCAGUCAGGUGUACCUGCAACCUCCUGGUGAGGGGGGAAAAUAUAAUAAAAAUGGGGUGAGUUUAAAACUCAGUGAGACUGCUGUACGGCCAAGGCGGAUGUACGGUACAGCAGAUCUUAGUUUCAAAAUCACUCAUAAUUUUAAAAAAAAUUACACCCCGGAGCUACACUGAUAUACAGGGAAAUACCAUCUCAUAUCUCAUCAUAUUUGUACAUGCAUAAUCUAGUCCCCAAAGGACAAAAGCGCCCAAGCACACGACCCAAAGCCUCUGUGUGUACUCAGACAAGCCCCAAAGGCCUGUAUCUCAUUUGUAUCAUCUGUAUCUCAAUAUUUGUCUGUAUCUCUGUAAUCAUCAUACCACAUACAUAUGCCCCCAAAAGGCAUAAACGCCCAAACACACAGCCCAAAGCCUCUAUGUGUGUUCAGACGGGCCCCAAAGGCCUCUCAUAUCAUUUGUAUCACUAUAUCUGGAGGGAAGGGUACUGUCUAAUGAUUUCAAAAAUAAUCAUUACACUCAUAUUCACAUACCUUUUAACCAUACUUUAAAUCAAUACCACAUUUGAAUCCACUUUUCUUAUCUUUAAAAUAUUAUCAUGCUUACUCAAAGUCGAUACGCAAAAUCAUUAACUAAACAUUUUAAUAAAAUCUCAAUGCAUGAAUAAAAUCCAUUUCGAGGAAAUCAUUAAAUCAAAACAUUUAAAAUACUUAUUUCACAAACAUACUUUACUAUCAUAAUUAACUAUGAAAAUAGGUUUUGUAUAUUCCACUCACAGUGACGGUGUUCAUGCUCGAUUAUCGUCCACGUUCGCGGAUCGGUUCUCGCUCGCGAAUCCUCCUAAAUCAAGGAAAUGACAUAAUUAUUUUCCAUAAAUCAGAAUUACGACUAAAUUUAUGCAAUAAACUCGAAACGAACAUCUAUUCAUAAUUUACAACUCCCGUGUCGGUAAAAUUACUAAAAUGCCCUAGAGUCCGUAUAUCAUUAAAAUACUUUGAAAUCGUAAAUCACCGAAUUACCCUCGGAAUUGUAAUUACAUCUAAUCCUCAAUUUCAUGUAUUACUAAAAUAUCCACAGGCUCAGAAAUUACAAAAUUGCCCUUAUAAUGUGAAAUUACUGAAAUGCCCUUGUCAGUCAACGAUCACCGAAAUUUAGUCAACGCUGGCCGGGAAGCACGGGUUAGACACUUUUGGCCAAGCUGAGUUCAAUGGUAUCGGCGGUGAGCUCCAACGCGCGGUAACGACGCCAAAAUCUAGCUCGGCAGCCGUGAAUUCCAACAAUUGACCGGCAGAAAAACAGUGACUCCCGGUGGCUAUGGAUGGUUAGAAAUGGAAGAGGGAAUCGUGCGGAAAAAAAUCCAACCGGUGGUGUCACCCAAAACCAGUGAAAAUCCUGGCGGAGCAAAGCGAAACAGUUGCGGGUUUUCAAGCUUCAAUCGCCGGUGUUCCGGUUGGUUUUCGGCGGCGAGGAUGGCAGGGGAACGACGGCUAGCUUCUAAGAUUCAGAUUGGUACCAAGCUCGCCCAAAAGGGUGGCCGGAAAUGGGAGAUAUGGCCGGGUCACGUUUGCGGGUUCCAGCUCGGGUUUUCGAGUCGGGUUAACGGCUACUCUCUCUCACCUCUCACACACGUGUGGCUUCUGUUUUUGCUUUGUUUUUUCCAGCUUUUUUUUUAUUAAUAAAAUCCUUAACCGCCUCAUUUUUAUUUUAAAUUCUACAUAUGUUACAAAACAGUACCAGGAGAAAUAACCCUAAUAAGUAGCAUACUAGUACUUAGUACUUAUACAUAAUCAUGUGACAUAACUCCACACUGAAUAUCAUACAUCAACAGACAAGGAAUUCAUACAUACAUACAUGACAAACUGCACCAAACAGUAUUAGGGGAAAUAACUCUUAAUACUCGCCGGGAUCAUCAUCGCACGAGUAGAGCGAGGGAAAAACCUCUCAAUACCUAGCGUAAUUAAACUAUAUCGCACGGGUAAGUAACCUAACUCUCAAUACGCAAGCACAUAGUCUAUGGGGAAAGGUACAUAUAUGGUGACUAGUAAUCAUAUCUCAUGACUCAAUCAAACAUACGAUAUGCGUACAUGUAACCAUAACAUGAUAUUAAAUCAUAAUAUCAAACAUAAAUGCUUCACGGAAUACAAAAUAGUAAUAAUAGUAUCCACUCACAAAUCCUGUUUCACUCCGGGGUUCGUUGGGUCUCUUGUGGGUUCCCGGAUUCUAGAGUUCCUCCUAAAAUAUAGGAUUUGUAAUUACCGGUUAGAACUGAUAUAAAAACUUAUGCAUAUCAUGUAAACAGUAACAUAACUGCUCAAACUUCAUAAAUCUAUUACCCACGAGUUUACUAGAUAUUAAUCUAAAUAUCCAAUUCUAUUUUCUGUAACUUUUCCUCUCAAUUUCUCUUUUUCCCACCUUCAGCUUCUUUCUUUUCUUUUCUUUCUCUUUUUCACUUUUCUCUCUCUUUUUCUUCUUUUGUUUUGCUCUCGGUUCUCCAAUUUGGUAAAUGAAGCAAUUAUCAAAAUGUUGCAUUUUAUAAAGCCACCGAAUGAGCCAUCGAAUGCAAGCAAGUAGCUGACUGUUGCUUUUGUAGAUUGUCAUGUUUGGCUUUUUUUUUUUUUUCCAAGUAGUGCAUGACAGUAAUACACUCUUUGCUAUCAUCCCGCCUCAAAUUGGCAACAUCUCCAAUCUUAAAUUCCUUGACAUGGGAAAUAAUCAAUUGUCUGGAGUAAUACCACAAGAAAUCGACCUUCUAACUCAUCUAAAACACCUUUACAUUAAUGUGAAUAAGUUACGCGGCUCAGUUCCACGAGAAGUAGGUCAAUUAAGCUCUCUUAAACAACUAGUCUUAUAUUGCAACGGUUUGUCUGGUUGGCUCCCUUCUUCUUUCGGUAACUUAAACAACUUGGCUAUGUUGAAUCUCAAUAAUAAUUAACUUUUUGGCUCUAUUCCUUCAUCUAUGGGAAACUUGAAGUUUCUUUCCACUUUAGACUUGAGUAUAAAUAAAUUUAGUGGUUCAAUGCCAAAUUCUUUGAGUAACUUAACCAGCUUGGUUAUUUUGUAUCUUUAUGAAAACUCAUUUCUUCUGUUCCUUCACUUAUUGGAAACUUGAAGUCUCUCUUUCAUCUAGAUUUGUCUGAAAAUCAGCUUAGUGGUUCGAUCCCCCAUUUUUUGGGCAAUUUGAGCAACUUGGCUGUAUUGCAUCUUGGUGAUAAUUCACUUUUCGGUUCUAUCCCCCCAAUUCUAGGAAAAGUCCAAUCUCUUUUGAGUUUAGGAUUUGAUCUUAAUCUACUCAAUGGUGUCCUUCCUCCUUCAAUUAGCAAUCUGAGCAAUUUAGAAGGUUUAUACCUAUACUCUAGUUUGGUUUCACCAGAAAUAGGAAAUCUCUUGCAAUUAAUUGAGCUAGAGAUAGACAACAAGCAGCUUUUUGGUCAAAUUCCUAAAAGCCCGAGAAAUUUCACAAGCUUAAACAUAGUACAUCUUGAACAAAAUCAUCUCACGGGAAACAUAUAUGAAGUUUUCGGCAUAUACCCAAACCUGACGUUCUUAGAUCUUAGUCAAAACAAUUUUUAUGGUGAAAUCUCAUCUAAUUGGGGGAAAUGUCAGUAAUUAGGCUCUUUAAAUUUUUCAAUGAAUAACAUCACUCGGAGCAUACCUCCUAAGAUUGGAAAGUUAUACCAACUUCAUAAACUUGAUUUUUCAUUGAAUCACAUAGUUGGAGAGCUUCCAAUUGAACUUGGAAAUUUAAAGUCCUUAAACUACCGUGCUUUGAAUGGUAAUAAAGUUUAUGGGAGCUUACCUCGAGUACUUGGCUCAAUUAGUGAUCUAGAGUAUCUUGACUUGUCUACAAAUUAGUUGGGCAACUCUAUCCCAGAAACUCUUGGAAACUUGUUGAAAUUGCACUACUUGAGCAACAAUGAGUUUCGAAAAGAAUUUCCAGUUGAAUUGGAGAAGUUGGUUCAGCUUACAAAGCUAGAUUUAGUCAUAACUUUCUGGGAGGAGAGAUACCGCCCCAAAUCUGUAAUCUGGAAAGCUUGGAGAAGCUUAAUCUCUCAUACAAUAACCUUUCUGGUUUAAUUCCAGGUUAAUUUGAAGGAAUGCAUGGCUUGUCAGGCAUAGACAUAUCAUACAAUGAGUUGCGGGGUCUAAUUCGUAACAGCACAGGAAUCCAUUAUAAUCUUGUGGAUGCAUUACAAGGGAACAAAGGAUUGUGCGGUGAUGUUGACUGUUUUCAGCAUUGCAAAGACUAUGUAACUCACAAACAUGUCUUCAAAAAGAAAUGGUUUUUAAAUAUGUUUCCACUUUUUGGAAUACUUGAGCUUUUGUUCUUUGUGGUUAGAAUGAUUUCUGGAAGAAUGAAGAAGGCUUCAAGAGAAAACAAAGUAAGUUGUUUGAACAAUCAAGGACUAUUUUCGAUAUUAACUUUUGAAGGUAAAAUUAUUUUCGAUAUUAAGUUUUGAAGGUAAAAUUUUGUAUGAAGAAGUCAUUAGAGCGACGAACAAUUUUGACGCUAAGUAUUGCAUCAGCACAGGUGGACAGGCCAGUGUUUACAAAGCUGAGCUACCAUCUUGGGAGAUCGUAGCAGUUAAGAAAUUUCACUCACCACAUCCUGAUAUGGUAGUGCAACAAGCAUUCUCGAAUGAGAUCAAGGCAUUGACAGAGUUGCGACAUCGAAAUAUUGUGAAAUUUUAUGGUUUCAGUUUCCAUCCCCGACAAUCAUUUUUACUUUACGAAUAUCUUGGAAGGGGUAGUUUGGCCAUAAUUCUGAGCAAUGAUGCAGCGAUAGACGAAUUCAGCUGGACUGUGAGAAUGAAUGUGAUUAAAAGUGUAGCUAAUACUUGUCUUACAUGCAUCAUGACUACUUCCCACCAAUUGUCCAUCGAGACAUAUCAAGCAAGAAUGUGUUGCUGGGUUUAGAUUAUGAUGCUCAUGUUUCUGAUUUUGGGAUCUCAAAAUUUCUCAAGCCAGACUCGUCAAAUUGGUCUGAAUUUGUAGGCACAUUUGGAUAUGUUGCUCCGGUAUAAAUUCUUAAAUUAAUUAUAUGACACCACUUGUUUCAUUAAUGAGCGUCAUAUCUAAACGAUCAUUCUUAUUGUUCACUUUGCAGAGCUUGCUUACACAAUGAAGGUUAACGAAAAAUGUCAUGCGUACAGCUUUGGAAUAUUAACAUUGGAAGUGAUACAGUGGAGUCAUCCAAUAAAUUUUAUUUCCUCAAUUUCAUCUUCAUCUCCCAACAGGAACAUUUCACUUAAUGAACUUUUGGACCCUCGACUUCAAAAAAAAGAAGCAAAAUACAAUAAAAGAAGAUUAGAUAAUCGGAGGCGUAGUGAACCCCAAAAGAUAGUUAGCAUAGAACUCACUAAUUAAUAAAGUAAUAAAUGGGAUAAAAAAUGAUCGACUAAUAGGCUAUAUAUAUGUGUGUGUGUGUGUGUGUGUGUGUGUGUGUGUGUGUGUGUGUGUGUGUGUGUGUGUGUGUGUGUGUGUGUGUGUGUGUGUGUGUGUGUGUGUGUGUGUGUGUGUGUGUGUGUGUGUGUGUGUGUGUGUGUGUGUGUGUGUGUGUGUGUGUGUGUUUAAAACCAUGUAGUUUUAAAACUUUCCCGUACUUUUCACACUUUAAAACCCUGGAUUAGAAUACACACACACACACACACACACACACACACACACACACACAUACAUUUAUUAGAAAUGUUAUAAUCCGGAAUUUUAAAGUGCAGGAAAGUUCAUAAAAGCUUUAAAACCGCAUGGUUUUCAAGUUUUCCCAAACUUUUCCGUACUUUAAAAUUCUGGACCAGAAAACUACUCUAUAUAUAGAACCUCUAAAUAGGAAUACUCUAUAUAGGAAUAACCUCAUAGAAAUAAAAAAUUGUGAUCCCAACUUGGGACCAGUUAUAAUUAGGAAUAAACUCCACAUUGUAAUAAGUUAUAUUUUUUGUAUGUUCUGUCUUAAUAAACUUACUUCCAUAUAGUAAUAAUAUUUCAAAAAUAUAUGCCAUGUUACAUUAAAUAAUUCAGAUGGAACAAAAUAUCUUUCUAAAGUUACUUGUGACAAUGAAUAUCACUUGCAUUAGCUUAUUAAUUUAUUAAUACAUGACAUAAUUUACCUUUAUAUCACUUGCAUUAGGGAUAAUUAAGCAAAGACAAUAAUUUUGUACUAUACCUCUAUUAAGUUAUAACCUCUUUAUAAGAAUAAAUUUCUCCAGUCCCAAUAAUAUGACUAUAUAGAGGUUUUACUAUAUAUAUUUAUAUAUGCCACCUUGUAGUAUCGUAUGCCAUGUUUUAUAUAUAAACUUUUUCUUAAAAUAAUUAGAAAGGGAAUGAGAAAUCUCACUCAUUAAAUUAAAUGCUAAUCAAUAAGCACUAUCAUUACUUGAACUCGACUAAUCAGAGGUGCAAGCAUUUAAAGUCAGUCGAGCUACCCCAAAAGGGAGCUUUACAUUUUUUUUUUCACAUAAUAAUCAAAGAUGUCACGGUAAUGGUCCUUUCGAAAUAUCUAAUUUAAUUUUGAUAAAUUAAUUAGUUGAAUUUGUUCAGUUGUUGAAAAAUUGUUUAAUUUUUUAAUACACAAAAUAAUAUCCUUUCGAAAAUUUAAUUAAGGUAUAUAUAGGUAAUCUUCAGAGUUCAACAAAUCACAUCUAUUUUUAAAUUAAAAAAGAGAGAGAAAGAGAAAAAAACUGAAAAAAGGAUAGGAUGUUGAAGGGGGAGAUAGUAGAUGUAUUUUGAAGUAUUGAGAAUGUUGAGAAUAUGUUUCGAAGUGUUUGUGUUGAGAAUACAUUUAGUAGAUGUAUUUUGAAUUAUUGAGAAUGUUCAGAAUAUGUUUUAUGUGUUUGUGUCGAGAAUACAUGGAUGUAGACGCACACACGCAAGGGGAGUUUUAAAAUUUGAAAUCAAAUUAAUGAAUAUGAUUUGAAGUGUUUGUGUUGAGAAUACAUUUUGGAUACACACGCACACAAGCAAGGGGAGUUUUACAGGGAGUUUUAAAAUUUGAAAUUUGUUAAUCCAUUUGAUUUCUAUACAUUCAGGGAAGUUCUUAUAAAAGUUCAAACUACAUAACGUGUUUUGUCAUCGUCAAAAAGGAAAGAUUGUUAACCUCUAUGGUUAUAUAGCAUUUUGAUUUUGAUGAUAACAAACCACGUGUCAUGGGUAAAAUAGGAAAUAUGCAUAUUCUUUAUUUUAUUUUAAAACAAAAAAAUGAAUGUUGAGUAUUUUAAGAUGUCCUUAAAAUUGUUUUCUUUGUAUUUUCUAAAGGAAAAUUUUUAUUAUGUGAAUUAUUUCAAAUUCUAAGUAUAAAGCGUUUUUCGCAUAAGUUUUUCAGUUAAAACUUUUAUUAUGUGCUUAAACGUUAAACCAAUAUAAUCCAAAUGGUAAGCUCACUAAAUAAAACUUGCUGCUAGACACAAAUGGCAUACCGUUACAAGGAAAGCGACAAACCGAUUGCAUCAAAUUAGCUCUCUAGAAUCAAACGGUAAACUGAUAGAGCUGAAGCAGCAAACCGAUUACAUCAAAUUAGCUCUUUGGAAUCAAACAGUAAACCAAUAGAGUUGAAGCAGCAAACUGAUUGCAUCAAAUUAGCUCUCUUGAAUCAAAUGGUAAACCGAUAAAGCUGAAGAGACAAGCUGAUUCCAUCAAGAUGACUUACUAGACUCAAAGAACAAACUAUUAUCUGCAAGUGGCAAACCAAUUCCAUCAAGAUGACUUACUGGACUCAGACAACAAAUUGUUAUCUGCAAGCGGCAAACCAAAUCCAUCAAGAUGACUCUCUGGAAUCAAGCGGCAAACUACUUUCUUGAAGCAAAAAAUCGUGAAGCAAAAAUUUCAAAUUACAACCAUAAGGAUAAGUGCCAUAUAAGCAAACUAUAGACUGUUUUCUUGAAAGGGCAAAUCGAUUAUGCCUAGAAAGUCAACAACAACUAUUUUUGUCGUUCAAUCUAUAAAUAGCCAAGAGAAACACUUUUGAAAUAGGAAUUUUUUGGCCAUUUUUUUAAGAGUCUUGAGCUUUUACUUGCUUAUAUACAUUCAUUGAAUUUAUAAUUGAGCUAUCAUUUGUAACAUACACUUGUGAGAGUGCAUUCUUUGUAAUUUCCAUUUCACUAUCAACAUUGAAUGAUUGUAAGUGUAGGGAAACACUUGGUGAAGAAGGUGUGGGAUCAUCUCAAAUUGUAAAUGUUUAUUGACACCCUAAAAGUCAAUUGCAAACUUCCUGAAGCCUUGGAUUGUAAUGCUUGAAUAGUGGAACAAUCAAGUUCAGUUUGCUUGGAGGCAUGGAUGUGAGCGGGUUUUGCCGAACCACGUAAAAAUUUCGUGUUCGCUUUCUGAUAGAGAUACAUCAGAAUCAAUCUCUUGACCAAUUCUCUCCUAAUCUUGUGCUUACCGUUUAUAGAUAAUAUCUGUUGUAAAUGCUCCUUUAUUUACUCCUUCUUUCUCUCCUUGACUUAUUCUCUUUAAUUCAAAUUGUAAUCAAAUCUAGGAUAGUUAUUACCCUUUGUAUUCCAACUACAGUCUGUAUAUAUAUAUACGACUAACAUCAAUAAUAAUAUAGCUUCAUUUUCAUUCACAAUUGAUAUUAUUUCCCUUUAUAUGGUAUCCAGAGCAUAGAUCCAUUUUUUUUUCUUUUCUUUUUCCACGGUUCUUCACCCUCCCUCUUCAAUGGCAUCCAAUGAUCAAUCUCUUCUACCCAACAAUGCUGAACCGACCAAGCCUUUCAUCAUCAUCUCCCUUUCUCACAUCCUGAAACUCACUCCAACAAAUUAUAUCUCAUGGAAAACUCAACUUGAAGCUACCUUCCUUGGCCAUGAUCUACAUAAAUUCAUAGAUGGUUCUCAUCCUGCCCCAUCUAAAACAAUUACCCAAAAUAACACCACCACUACUAAUCCUGCCUACAUCACAUGGUUCCGUCAAGACAAGCUCAUUCUUGGAGCUCUUGCUGGCACGCUUUCCAACCCACUUUUCCCUCUAAUUUCACAAUGCUCCACUACCCAUGACGCUUGGCAAACUCUUGCUAAGACAUAUGCCAAUCCCUCGAAAGGCCAUCUCAAAUAAAUAAAAGAUCACCUUAAAAAUAUUACCAAAGGUCCUCGUUCCAUUUCUGACUACAUGCAGGAAAUUAAGUGUUGUACCGAUCAACUAGCCUCUCUUGGUCGUCCCCUUGAUCCCGAAGAUAUCGUUGACAAAGUCCUUGACCAACUCAAUGAUCCCGACUAUGAGAGUGUCAUCAAUGGCGCCCAAAACCGUGAAACUCCUAUCACGUUUGAUGAGUUACAUGAAAAACUCAUCAAUCAUGAACUCUCCCUCAAACACAAAGCCAAAUCCUCCAACAGUUUCCAUGCCACUGUUAACUAUGCGGCCAAACAACAAAACAGAAACUAUCAAUAUCGUCCUUUCUCUUCCAAUGCAAGCCUUCUUCCCACUCCAAACCACUCCAACUCUCAGCCUCCUACUCGUUCUUCUCAACCCUUCAAAGGACGGUGUCAAUGGUGCUGAAACCAAGGUCAUUAUGUCUCCCAAUGCCCCAUUUUCCGCAACCACUAUCCAAAUGCAAUACUACCUUCCCAACAAUCCAACCCAUCCAUGGUUCCUUCUCAUGCAACACCUCACCCUAUUGCCAAAGGCUAUCAAUCCUCGUUUUCUCGUGCCUACGCUGCCACUGCUACCGACCCCUCCUCUAAUGGUUGGCUUCUCGACAGUGGUGCCACUCAUCACGUCACCCAUGAUCUUGAAAAUCUUGCUCUUCACUCCUUGUAUGAUGGUACUGAGGAACUAAUUAUUGGAGAUGGCUCGGGCCUCGCCAUCUCAAACACUUGUUCCACUUCACUUUUUACCCCUACUACUACAUUUAAUCUUAAUCAUAUUCUUCAUGUGCCUUCCGUUUCUCGUAAUAUUAUUUCUAUCUCUAAAUUUUGUCAUGAUAAUACUACUUCUAUCACUUUCUUACCUAAUUCCUAUAUUGUGAAGGAUCUUCGCACAAGGGUACCCCUUCUUCAAGGUCCAACUAAAUCUGGAAUCUAUGAAUGGCAUCCCACUCGUCCUGCCAUUCACUCAGUCAAAUUGACAUCUACUACCGAUUGGCAUCACAGAUUAGGCCAUCCAUCUUAUUCUAUUCUACGUCAUAUUAGCAAUGCUUUUAAUUUAAAUAUUCCAAAAACAAUAUCUUUUCAUUGUAAUUCAUGUGAUUGUAAUAAGAGCCACAAAUUACCAUUCUAUCAAAAUACCAUUCAAUCUCAUGGUCCUCUUGAUGUUCUUUAUAGUGAUGUUUGGACUUCUCCCACUCUUUCUUAUGAUGGCUACAAAUAUUAUCUUAUUUUCGUUGACCAUUAUUCCAAAUAUAUAUGCUUUUACCCUCUCAAACACAAAAAUGAUGCCACUGCCACUUUUCAUAAAUUCAAACUCUUGGUUGAAUUUUUUUUUAAACGCCCCAUCAUUACAAUCUAUAGUGAUAAUGGUGGUGAAUAUAUUGGUUUAGAUCCAACACUUGAGUCUCAUGGUAUAACUCACCUCACCUCUCCUCCUCAUACGCCUGAGCACAAUGGCUAUUCGGAGUGUCGUCAUCGCCAUAUCGUUGAAACAGGUCUUUCCCUCCUCACUCAUUCCUCUAUGCCACGAAAAUAUUGCCCUCUUGCUUUUGCUACUGCUUGCUAUUUAAUUAAUCGUCUGCCUACUCCUACGCUUCACCUUUAAUCUCCUUACUCUAAACUACAUGGCCACACGCCUAAUUAUCUCAAACUUUGUAGCUUUGGAUGUCUUUGUUAUCCAUGGCUACGUCCCUAUACCUCAAAUAAACUUGAUCCCCGCUCAUCUCAUUAUGUCUUUGUUGGUUAUUUUGCUAUCCAAAACGCCUAUUACUGCCUUGCUCCUCACGCCAAUAAAAUCUAUGUUUCUCGACAUGUCAAAUUCAUUGAGCAUGAAUUCCCUUUUUCUUCCUCUUCCAUGACGACAUCACCGCACACGUCCAUCGAAACGGAUGAAUGGUGUGCACUUCCUCUUCCUAUUAUCUCUGCUGCAUCAUCCACACCAGCUAUUCGCCUCCAACCCCCUCCCAGACCUCGGCUACCUCAAACACCCCCACUCCUCCUCCCCCACCACCUCCACCAUGCCCUCUCACUCGGCUACAAAAUAAUAUUCAUAAACCCAUUACUAAAAUGAAUCUACAUGUCUCUCUCUAACCUUCUUCUACCGAACCUACCACAAUCACUCAAGCUAUCAAAAGCUCUAUUUGGCGUGAUGCUAUGCAAACUGAAUACGAUGCCUUGCUCAAAAAUAAAACAUGGGACCUUGUUCCCUCUUCUCCAUCACAAAAUCUCAUUGGUUGUAAGUGGAUCUUUCGGACUAAGUAUAACCCAGAUGGCUCCAUAGCCCGUCACAAGGCUCGCCUAGUAACUAAAGGGUUCCACCAACGUCCCGACCUCGACUACACUGAAAGUUUCAGCCCCGUAGUUAAACCCGCUAUUGUCCGCAUUGUUCUUUCUCUUGCCAUAAUCUAUGGGUGGUCUCUUCGUCAAAUUGACAUUAAUAAUGCUUUUCUCCAAGGUUCUCUCAUGGAGGACGUGUUUAUAGUCCAACCCCCUGGUUUUAUUAGUCAAUCUCAUCCUGCUCAUGUUUGCAAACUUCACCAAGCUCUCUAUGGUCUUAAACAAGCUCCUCGAGCUUGGUAUAAUGAACUCAAAUCCUAUCUUCUUACUCUUGGGUUCAAAAAUUUCAUCUCAGACACAUCCUUAUUUGUUCUACAUAAUACUCAGGGUCUCAUCUACCUCCUCGUGUAUGUUGAUGAUAUUAUUAUCACUGGCUCAAAUUCAUCUUUUCUAAGCACAUUCAUCUCUCAAUUCUCCUCUCGUUUCCCUCUUAAAGAUCUUGGUAACCUCUUCUAUUUUCUUAGCGUUGAGGUGUUACCUCAUCCUCAAGGUCUCUUUCUUAGCCAACAUAAAUAUCUCCAAGACCUUCUAACCCGUGCCCAUAUGUCAAAUGCCAAACCCGUACCCACUCCUAUGGUCAUGCAUCCCCCUCUAUCCACACAAACUGGAGCUCCUUUAGCCAACCCAACUGAAUACAGAGCACUUGUGGGAAGCCUUCAAUAUCUCUCUUUAACUAGACUUGACAUCUCCUUUGCUGUAAACAGGUUAUCUCAAUACAUGCACAAACCUACUGAAGAUCAUUGGGCCGCUCUCAAACGCUUAUUACACUAUCUCGCAGGAACUACUUCACACGGUUUACUACUUCGCCAAGACUCGCCGACCACUCUUCAUGCUUUUACAGACGCCGACUGGGCAGGUGAUAAAGACGACUAUAUUUCUACAACUGGUUACAUUGUCUAUUUGGGUUGAAAUCCUAUAUCUUGGAGUUCCCGCAAACAACGAACUCUUGCUUGCUCUUCCACCGAAGCCGAGUACCGCGCUGUUGCCGCGACUACUGCCGAGGUCCUAUGGGUUCAAAACUUACUACGUGAGCUAGGAUACCUACCCACCAACAAACCAGUCAUCUACUGUGAUAAUAUGGGAGCUACAUAUGUUGCCGCCAAUCCAAAGUUCCACUAAAAAAUGAAACAUUUAGGACUUGACUAUCAUUUUGUUCGUGAAAAUGUUCAACAUCAAAUCCUACGUGUGUCAUACAUUUUUGGUAACGAUUAACUCGUCGAUGCUUUUACAAAGCCGCUUGCUCGCACCCGGUUCCAUGAACUUAUGUCCAAGAUUGGUCUCACUUACCGAUCGUCCAUCUUGCGUGUGUCAUACAUUUUUGGUAACGAUCAACUCGUCGAUGCUUUUACAAAGCCGUUUUCUCGCACCCGGUUCCAUGAACUUAUGUCCAAGAUUGGUCUCACUUACCGAUCGUCCAUCUUGCGUGUGUCAUACAUUUUUGGUAACGAUCAACUCGUCGAUGCUUUUACAAAGCCGUUUUCUCGCACCCGGUUCCAUGAACUUAUGUCCAAGAUUGGUCUCACUUACCGAUCGUCCAUCUUGCGUGUGUCAUACAUUUUUGGUAACGAUCAACUCGUCGAUGCUUUUACAAAGCCGUUUUCUCGCACCCGGUUCCAUGAACUUAUGUCCAAGAUUGGUCUCACUUACCGAUCGUCCAUCUUGCGUGUGUCAUACAUUUUUGGUAACGAUCAACUCGUCGAUGCUUUUACAAAGCCGUUUUCUCGCACCCGGUUCCAUGAACUUAUGUCCAAGAUUGGUCUCACUUACCGAUCGUCCAUCUUGCGGGGGCAUGAUAGAGAUACAUCAUAAUCAAUCUCUUGACAAAUUCUCUCCUAAUCUUGUGCUUACCGUUUAUAGAUAAUAUCUGUUGUAAAUGCUCCUUUAUUUACUCCUUCUUUCUCUCCUUGACUUAUUCUCUUUAAUUCAAAUUGUAAUCAAAUCUAGGAUAGUUAUUACCCUUUGUAUUCCAACUACAGUCUGUAUAUAUAUAUAUGACUAACAUCAAUAAUAAUAUAUAGCUUCAUUUUCAUUCACAAUUGAUAUUAUUUCCCGUUAUACUUUCUUCUCCCAUAUCUCUUUAAACUUAUUCAUUGUUAUAUUUACUGUUAUUGAAUCUCUUAAGGCAUUAGUUUAAAUUAUUUUGUAAUUUAAUUUGUUUAAUUUUUAAAAACCCAAUUCACCCUUCUCUUGGGUUACUUAGCUAGAAUUUCAGCAUAGCUUGUCAUGCGUUCACAUACCGUACAAUGAAUUACGAGGUCCAAUUCCUAACAACACAAGAUUCUAGUUGAUUGGAAUGAUUUUUAGAAGAAUUAAGAGGGCUUCUAGAGAAAACAAAGAAAGUUCUGUGGGCGAUCAAGGAGUGCUUUCGAUAUUAAUUUUUAAAACGUAAGUGGCAUAUUAAAAAAUCAUCAGUGCAGGGAAUAAAUUUGAUGCUGAGCAAUGCAUUUGGCAACCUAUCAUCUGGGAGAUCAUAGCGAUUGGCAAAUUUCAUCACCACUUCCAAGUGAAAUUUUAGUUCUACAAGAAUUCCUGAAUGAAAUCAAGGCAUUGCCAGAAUUAUGGUAUCAAAAUAUUGUGAAAUUUUAUAGCUUCUGUAACAUCCUGGUACUCUUUUUCAGUCUAUGAAUAUCUUGAAAAGGGUAGUUUGGCUACAAUUCCAAGCAAUGAUGCAACAAUAGAAGAAUUCAUGAGCUGGACUCUGAGAAUGUAUAUGAUAUAAAGUGUAGCUAAGGCCAUGAGUUAUAUGCAUCAUGAUUGCUUCCCACCAAUUGACAAUCAAGACUUAUGAAGCAAGAAUGUGUUGCUCGGUUUAGAUUAUGAAGCUCAUGUUUCAGAUUCCGGAAUCGCAAAAUUUCUCAAGCCAGACUUGUCCUAUUGGACUGAUUUUGCAGGCGCAUUUGGAUAUGUUGCUCCACAUAUGCAUUCUCAAAUUAAUCCAUUGAUCACUUUUUACAUUAAUAAACGUCAUAUCUAACUGAUCAUUUUCAUCUUUCAGUUUUUGUAGAGCUUGUUUACACGAUGAAGAUUAUCGAAAAAUGCAACGUGUAUAGCUUUCCGAGAAUUAGCAUUAGAAGUGAUAAAGGGGAAUUAUCCAAGAGAUUUUAUGUCCUUCCAUCGGGGACAUAUCACUGAAUGAAAUUUCGGACACUCGGCUUUCAACAUCAUCAUGAAAUGUUCAAGACACGCUGAUAUCAAUCAUGGAGGUUGUCUUAUUCGAUGUGGGCCCAGAAUCAAGACCCGCGAUGUACACAAUAUGUCAUUUAAAAAAAAAAAAAGAACUCCAGAAAGUCAAAUGUUUCUUUUUUCUUCUGUAUUUUUUUUUCAUUUUUCGUUUUUGUUGGAUUAAAUAUGACUUUUGAAACUUUUGAUGGUUGUAAAAGAUUUUACACUUUAAUUAAGUACGUGAAUUACACAUUUCAAGCAUCAUUUGACUUUACCCCCAAUCUCUGCCGUAAUGUCAUUUGGCUUUUCUGUGCCUUACUUUGGAUAUGCAUAUUUUGUCAAAGGACAAAAAACUGAAAUUGAAAAAUAGAAGUUGUCAUAAAGUAAAUUAAUAUAUUCCAUAACAUUAUGAACAUCUACGUGCGAAAGCAACAGCGAUACUUUCAACACAUUGUAGGAACUGCCUCUAAGUAAGCCCAAUGGGUGUAAAUUUACAGAUCACCGAAAAACCUUAGGUCAAAGUAAAAUGAUCGGCUUCCUAUGAUUUUUUUCUGUUUUUAAUGGCUGCCUAUCACAAAUUUAGUAACUUCAGCAAAAUUCUACUGCUUAUAUCUUUUACUUUAAUAUUAUAAUCACGAUCGGCUUCUUAUGCCUACUUUUUUUUCAACUCAAAUAUUUUUCUCAACUUCAAGUCUUCAAGCAACUAUUUGGAAGAACAAAUCCAGAGGCCGACCCAUCAGCGUUGGUACAGGAAGCUUCAGCUGGUUGAUUCUUGUAAAUGAGCUUCACAUCCUCCAAGCUAAUUCCAGUGCAUGGAUUCUUUGAACUGCAAUCGAGCUUUACUCCAACUUCCGUUGCCGAUGUUCCAUGAAUAUCUUGAUAGAUCACAUCACUGAUUUUAACCCCGGAAGCCUAUUGAAGAAUAAAAAAUAAUAAUUUUUAUUGAGUUGAAUAUUAAUCGCAUCAACAUUUACGUAAUCACAUCUACAGACAUGUGAUAAGUGAGUAUCGUACCUGUCCAGGACAAUUCCCGUUGUCAGGGCAGUAAUUUUGAUCAAUUAUGAUUGGAUUAUCGACAUUGUUCAUAAGAGCAUGUUGGAAAAGAAUGUUCCUGGCAAAUCCACCGCUUGUUCUGCCCCAGGACUUAAUCCUCACUCCAUUUUGAGUGCCUGUAAAUGUCACAGAUGUUACUGUCAC
rnacentral:lncRNA from 1 species